CAUGGAAAUUAUGGUGUGAAGGAGAAGCUCUGGAGCUGAUGGAUCCAGUACUCAAGCAGUCAUGCGUGGGCGCUGAACUUCUGAAAUAUAUACAUAUUGGAUUGUUGUGCGUUCAGGAAGACCCAGCCCGCAGACCUAGCAUGUCAUCUGUGGUUGUAAUGUUGGCGAGUGAUACAAUAACACUUCCUCCACCAGCCCAGCCUGCAUUUUCUGUUGGCCGAAUGGUUGCUAGUUCUGGUCCAUUCUUUUCAUCAGAUUCUAAAUUUUGCUCUAUUAAUGAGAUUACUCUUUCAAGUGUGUAUCCUCGUUGACAAUUUUCAGUUGUCCAAAAAUUCAAAGACAGUUUGUUUCCGUGGACCAUCGUUUGUUUUACGAACCCUCUACAAAAUUAAUUUCUGUGCCUGCAAAGUGCACGGUGUAGCUGGACCAAGAUUUUGCCUAAAUUCUAUUUAAUCAUAACCCUUUGUCAAAUCAAUAAUGGAAAAACUUGUUGGUACUACAUGUUAAAAUAAUUUAUUCUGGCAAUUAGUGUAGCUCGACUAGUUGUCAAUACACUUUUCAUCCAUGGUCAUUUGAGUUUAAUUAAUAAUAAGUGUUUCAUACGUCUAAAUACUUGUUCGUUUCUUUAAUUUUCAUCAAUUAUAGGAAUUAUUAAAAUGAUUAGACAGAAAUUCACAGACACCUCCAAAUCUUUGGAAUACAUUGAGUCCAAACUCCAACCUGAAAUUUUUUUUUCUUUUUACUUUUUCCAAUGAAACGUUUAUAUAAGUCGGGAAAGGCAUAUAAAAAAAUUUAACUGGCCUAAAGAUAAAAAAUAGCACUUUCAUGGGAGAGAAAGUCACAUACACCUCCAGAUAGUCAGGAAAGACAUAAAAGAUUUUAACUGACCACAGGAUAAUGGAUAAAUAAUCUCUAAGUCUCCCAAUGAGUGAAUGAACAUAUUUCCGCUGGAACAAUUUCAGAAAUCCAUUUCCUUACAUCUGCUGAGGGAAGUCUGUAUAAUCCUGAAAAUUAAAGACAGAAAAAUAAAAAAAAAUGAAAAUAUUAUAUUACUAGUUAACCAGCCAGCCACCUGGAGGACCUUGGAAUGAAAAAUAGUCCCGGCAGUUGUGUUAUUAUUACUCCAGUGCAGUAAUAUAACUCCUACAAAAUUAAAUUCACAUAUAAAACCAUUUAAUUUGUGUAUUAAAAACAAUAACACAGUGGAGAUCACUAUGUAGAAUUAUGACCUAUGACGGCCAAGCUGCCCCAGUUGACAAGAGAACCAUAUGCAUAUAGAAAAGAAACAACUUUAGUCAGAAUCUCUUCAGUAACUGUGAAAAUAGACUCAGCAUUUAGUCACCUAAUUGAAAAGGGUCUAUGAAUCUUUAACAAAAUAUGUUAAAAGAAGACCUUCAAUCAAAUUAAGUACGUACCCGAUUAAUUAAUUGAGUGCAGUAAAUAAUCCGCUUAAAUGCUUUGGAGUGAUUUCCGCAACAUAUUGAGACAAUAUACUGAACAAAUCACUUAUUAUGACGAAAAGGGUUUGUGUUACUGGGAAUUAAAACAAUAUAGACAGAUAUAUAUGUGUGUGUGUGUGUAUCAGUGUGUGUGUGUAGGUGGAAUAGGGGAACUAUACCGCAUAUAAAAGCAAGCCCUAAUCUACCAAUGUCGAGACACUUUAAAAUUGUGCACUGGUUUGGUUUAAACAGAGUGAAAAAUCUUAUACUAUAUGAAAAAAAAAGAAAAAUUCUACGUGACUGCUGACUAGUGAGUAGUGACAAUUGAAGUAAGGCCAAUUUCACUGCGCGGAAGAUCAUUCUAUUGCUGGUCCAAGUUGGGCCAAGGCCUCAAAGCUAAUCAUUUUCUGUCCAAAAUUAGCCUUAAAUUGGCCCAUCAAUCAUUUGCAUGUUUUUACCAUCUUGAGUCGUUACUUAAGAUAUGGGAGUCUAUUUAUUUAAUUUUUUUCACUUGUCUCUUCAGUUUAUUAAAUCAAGACUUCCCCAUUAAAACAAGACGACUCAUAUCUAUGCAUAAGAGAAUUUAAUAUCUAAAGAAAUUAAUAUUGGUACUGAAAUUGCUUUAAUUUUAUGGAAUCAUGGAUACAAGUAAUGAGCUAGCCGUUGGAGGCUAAACAGGAAAUAUAAAACCGAGCCUAGACAUAUGCUAUACAGAAGUGAUUAUGAUCUAAGCCCACAGGAUUAAAGUUAUGUAACUAAUGAUAUUUAUUUAAUUGUCAUACAUCCGUAACUCAUCUGGUUCAUUGAAUUAAUCUUUGUUGUUCUUUACAAACUUAAUUCACUCCUUCAGUAAUAAAGGGUUAGUUAUUGAAAAAUCUCCAAUCACAGGAUUUAAUCUUUGCUUAGAUUAAUCUCGUUGACAAUCAUAAAGAAAAAUGAAAUGCAUGUCAUCUCAAGUUGAUGGGAAAAAAUCACUAAUUAAGAAAAGUCACAGAUCCUACGGCUGCUGUUUAGUAAAAUGGAUAGUCAAUGGAAACUGAAGGGGUCAAAAUAAUUCAGAGAGCCACAUUGUCUGUUUCAGGAUUUGAUAAGUUAAUUGAUCAUGAAUUAAAAAAAAAUUAAAUUUUAGACUAGGAUUAAGAUAAACUCACCUUUCUUAUACCAAAUAUAUUGGUUAAUGGCCCAAGAGCUUGGAUUUGGACAAAAUAUUUAGAAGCCCAAUAACCCAUUUGCCUAUUUUGACCCAACUAUUUCAUAGAUUGACCAAAAAAUUAUUGCGAUUGCAUGUAAUGUGACACUAACUGUGUAAGAUAGAUUGAGCAACGUAAUCAAAGAAAGGAAUUUUUUUUUCAAGGGUCAAAAGUAGUAUUGUUUGGAGAAUACAGGCAUAUUAUACGAUGAAUCAGUCAAUUUAUUAAUGGAGGAAAGCAAUUCCAUUAUUUGACAACUAUUGGGAAAGAAAGAAAAGCCGGAGAAGGAACCUUGGCAAAUACUAUAGCUAGCCAGCCUAGGAUGCAAAAUAAUUCAGAGAGCCACAUUGUCUGUUUCAGGAUUUGAUAAGUUAAUUGAUCAUGAAUUAAAAAAAAAAAUUAAAGUUUAGACUAGGAUUAAGAUAAACUCACCUUUCUUAUUCCAAAUAUAUUGCUAAUUUUCCACUUAAUAUUGCACCUAGCAUUCCUCUAGUUGUCAUUUUUGAAUCAAAAUUGAGUAACGCAUGCGGAAUGAUAUUCAAUAUAUAUAAAACGAAUUCACAUUUACAAUUAUGGCUUGAUUAUAAAAAGAUAAGAAGAUAAGAUUACAUGUACAGUAUAGUAGGCUUUUUGUCAACAAACCGACAAAAGAUAAAAUAUUAAAAGGCUUGAUUAAAAUCUAUUAGCUACAGUAAAUUAUCGGUGAUUCAGCGUCGAUGAGAAAAAUUAUAGGUAAAAGACAUUUUCACACUUUUUUCUUAUUGGACAGUGAUAAAACAAAGACACUUAGAAAUUAAUUUGGAGAAGCUCGACCAAAUUAUUGAAUAAAUCCGUAAAUACAAAUUUUAGGCUUGACCAUGCUAUCCAGUUAUAAUACAAUGUCAAUUUGGAAAUACCACAGUCUAAUGUCAAUUAUGCAUAUUAAAACAUGGAAACAUUCGCUGUUUGAUGUUUACAACUGGGACAUAUUAUCUAUUAAGUUUAUUUCGAUAUGCAUUACUUGAUCAUCAAAGAAUUUUAUAGACAUAGUUAAUUUGUCGUAAAUUAAUAGAUGAUACCAAAAGCAGCUAUGCAUGGAGCUUUCCAUGAAUGGGCCAUGAUGCCAGACUCAGCACCAGAUGAGUAUGACCCACCUGCAAAAUAACAAAAAUGAAUAGUUAAGUCAAAGGCAAUGAAUGUGAUAAGAUCCACGUGUCAGAUUUGUUGGGAGCAGCCUGAUGCAACAAAGUCCCCACGAAUCUAAACUUGCCACGUUACCAACGUAGAUGACAUAGACUUCUUCUUCUUUUUGAUUCUAUCCUUUUAAUUUUUAAACGAGUAUGUGUGAAAACUCAGACAAUAUGUAGAGUGAAGUAAUGCAUAUCGAAAUAAAAUUAACAGAUAAUAUAUCCCACUUGUAAACAUCACACAGCGAAUGUUUCCAUAUUUUAAUAAAUUGACUGAUUCAUCAUAUAAUAUGCCUGUAUUCUCAAAACAAUACAACUUUCGACGUCUGAAAAAAAACAAAAUCCGCUCUUUGAAUACGUUGCUCAAUCUAUCUUACACAAUUGGUGGCUUGGUGCAUGUCACAUUAUAAGCAAUCGCAAUAAUUUUUUGGUCAAUCUAUGAAAUAGUAGGGUCAAAAUUAGCAUAAAAGUGAUUAAUGGGGCCGAUGAAGUAUAAUGAGUAGAUCAAAUAUUAUAGUUCGAACUGAUAAUCUGAUAUAAUCAAAUCUUCAACAAGAUAAAUAUGAUCCUCGUGUUUCACUCAAUUUAUCCCUAUGUUACAUCAAUUUAGCUACAUAGCCUUUUCAUUUAGAAUGGGUGCCUCACUUUCCACAAAUUUGAAAUAAUAUUUUAUAUUUUUUUUAAGGAUAAGCCUUAAAAGUAAUGUCUCUGACACAUUCUAUUAUUACUAUAUUGUGUUUAGCACAUUAUAUGUUUUAUGUUGUAUUGUAUUAUUUUAAUGCAGAUAUAUUGUAUUAUUUUGUAUUAUAUUAACACUAUAUUAGAAUAAUACUAUACAACUUUUGGUGCUACACUGUAUUGUAUUAAUUUUUAAUUAUACCAUGUUGGUACUGCAUUAUACGUAUUAAUUUUUUUGUGAUUAAUUUAAAUUAUAUAUUUAAAAAAUAAUAUUUAUUAGUACUUAGAAAAAUACUAAAUAUAGAAGUCUUACAUUUUAGAAAUUUAACUUUUUUUAGUUUAAAUGUUCAAAAACAUCAUAAUUCUUUGUAAAGAUCGAAGCUUAUAACCUUAAAUUUUAUGCAGCAUGAUUUAUUUCCAAGUAUUUUCGAAAUAUACAACCUGUGAAAUAAAGAUUGAAGUAAAUAAUUUAAUCAAAUAAUCUCCAAAUAAUAUAACAUCAUAAAUAAAUAGUUAAAGCCUAUAAGAUUAAUUCAAAAGUCAACUUAGGAUGAUAAAAUAAAAAUUUGUACAUAUGACAGGAUAAUCACAUAAUAACAAAGUGAUAUAAUAUUUGGAACAUAUUUACUAACAAAAUAAAUUGUACUAAAUAAAUCAAGUAAGAGUUAUGUAGUAUAUGUAAUAAUAUAUUAUAUCAUUAUUUAAGUUAUUAUUAAUUUUAAGAAUAGCUCAUAGGAAAUAUAGCUUAUAGAUUUUUUUUUAAUUGUCUUUUGUAUUCCAUUAUAUAAAUAGAUAUAAUUAAAUUUUUGUUAUUAGUUAUAUUGAAUUGUUAAUUAAUAAUCAUUUUUUAUCUAUUAAUUACUAUAAUAUAAUUAUAAUUAAUAUUAUGUUAUGUUCUUAUUUUUAUAUAUUGUUCAAGUAUUUACUAUUAGUUAUAUUAACUUAUUAAAUUUAAUCAAUUUUAUAUAUGAAUUAUUAUAAUGGAAUUCAACAUACAUUAUUUACUUAUAUUUUUAAUAUAAUAAAAAUUAACACAUAACAUAAUAUUAUAUUAAAUUAAAAAGUUAUAAUUAUUUAUUAUUAUUAUAAAGUUAAAAACGACAACUACUGCCUUAGCUAAACUUGGCUGGGAGUUGGGUUUAAUUGAUGUAGCCACUUGCUACAGCCAAAUAUGGGGUUGCAUGGAUAAUGCGAUGCAACUCCAUGUAAGGAGGGGUGCCAAACAUCCCCAAAGUGCUAUAAAAUACUAUUUAAAGAUUAGUGUUGGAUCUAAAAUCCUCAAAAGUAGUCUCUCUAUCACAUUUUAUUGCUACUAUAAUGGUUAAAAAGUGGUGAUUAUGUUAAAAAUUUAUAUUAUUCAUAGUUGUCCUUCCUCAGCAAAUGUAGCCUAAAAUGAUAAAAACUUAUGUAGGUUAUGCAUCACAUCUUAAUAUGUUAAGGUUGUGCACCCAAAUGAAUAAGAACUUACUUUUGCUAGGACUGCUUGGUAUUGUGGUGGAACUAUCUAUUUUAAUGCUAUGUGUUAAGGAUAAGCAAGUUGCCAAGCUAUUAGCUAUCGUGUCAAGUGAAUUUGCAACAUGUGAAUUAGUUUUAACUAAUUGCCAUGUGGCAACUUAUGAUAGGAUGUUACUAGAUUCAGGUGGUCAUUGUUAGUAAAGUUGUUAGUGAAGCACCGCUGACAUAAGUUGAACUCAGAAUGCCCACUAUGAAAAGUUAGAAAGUUCCAAUAAAGUCAGAGCAAACAAAAAAGUUAGAAAGUUCCAAUAAAGUCAGAGCAAACAAACAUGACCAACUCGAGCGAUUCAACAUCAUCUUCAAUUUCCUUUUCUUUUGUUCAGCCAAUUGAACUUGAUAGAACAAAUUACCUUGUGUGGAAAGCUUAAGUUCAUGCAUCGAUCAUUGUCAAUGGCCUUCGAGGUUUCAUUAACGGGAUUCUCGAGAUCCAAAUCGGUUUCUCACUGAAAUUGAAGGUGAUUCAUGCAGAUAUGAAGUUGAAAGUUCAAGACAAUAUGCGAAACAUAGCUACAAUGACUAGAAGAAAACCAACAAACUUCUACAAAGCUAGAUGCUAUUUUCUAUGGUGGAUAAUGUGUUUAUCAUUGUGGUUGGCAGUGCACUUUGCUUAAUCUUUAGGAAAAGCUUGUAGAAAUGUUCAUUUCUCAAUCUAAGACUCAUUGUAUGCCUUUGAAAAUGUAGGUUCAAGUCAUGAAGAAAGAAGAUCUUUCCAUCAGUGACUGCUUUAACAAGAUGAAGAAAUUUACAGAUAGCCUAGCUAUUGACAUUAAUCCUCUUUUUUUAAAUGAUUUUAUCAUGCAUUUGCAUACUGGCUUGGAUGAAAACUAUAAGUCUCUUGUCACAAACAUACUUGUUAGGAUGGAAAAGGUAUCAUUGUUGAAGAAGUAUCUUCAUUGAUACUUAGUCAUAAAACUAGAAUGGAGAUAAGUAAAGAAAAGACACAGAAUGAAAUUUACAUGAUAUAUUAGCUAAUUUUGCUUUGAGAGGAUAGAACUCAAAUAAGCUUAGUAACAACAAUCAAAGGAGUUUUAAUAGUGGAAAUUUUGGGGGAUUUGAGGAUUGAUUCAACGGUGUGAUAGCAAAAUCAUCUAUCAGAUUUAUUUUAUACCUGGAUAUAAAGCCUUUAAAUGCAGAAAUAUGUUCAAUUAGGACUUUAUUCAUAAGCAAUGAAGAGGUGGUUUUAGGCCAUAAGGUGGUUGUUGUAACUUUUUCUUGUGUUAUUGGUGUCAAUGUACAAACGUACAUAACAAGUAAUAUAAUGAUAAGUAUUCAAGAUCGCCUCCACAGGAAUUGAUGUUAUCAGACUUGCUAUAGCAAUCUUAACAGUGCAGAUUGUUUCAAAUUAAAAUGAGAAAAUUACUAAAACUAAUAAAAUAACUAAAAUGUAAUAAAUAAAAUAAAAUAAAUAAAUGUAACACCCCAAAACUAACACGUGCGGAGCACGUGAAGAAGGAGUUUACUUACAGAUCGUAAUCCUUACUCAUCAAAUUCCAAACUGAAAUACCUCAAAUUUAUAAUCAAAUAAAUCCACAAAUUCAAACGUCUAACACUAAAUAAUCUCUCCCAAACAUAAAGACAACAAAAGUCUCAAACUCUAAAUUACAAGUUCAUAACAGAAAUAAACUGAAUAGAAAUAUGAGUCUAUUCCUCUUCUUAAUCAAAUGGCAAACGGAAAUGAAAAAUUACUAACUCCAAAGCUAAGCGCACCUCUCAAAAGAAACUUAAUCUGCAAAAGGUAAUGACGAGGGGUGAGCCGUCAACUCGGUAAGUAAAACAAUUCCUAACAUACUAGGCCUAUCGAUACAAAAAUAUUGCAAGCCUUCUUUUGUUUAAAACAUAUAUCAUAAUCCAUAAAUUUCAUAAAACGAUAUAUCACGAUAACAUAACAUAAAUUCUUAAUAAUUCAGAAUAUCCAAAAGCAUAUUUACUUACGAAGCAUCAUAUAAUAUGUAUACAGAAAACAAAAUGUUAGCUCAUGUCACAUAGUGUCACCUAUAGUCCCGGUGACCUAGCCAGAAACAGAAUCAGAAUAUCGUGUGCACACUCAGAACAGAAACCCAGUACUGGUCCAGACAGAUAUAUCAUAUAUUACGAUCAGAAUCAGAAUCAUAACAACUAUGGACAAUAAGCCAAAACAUUAGGAAUCUCAUGCAAUCAUCAAUAAUUGAAAUCAAACAUGGGUACAAAACAUUCGUAUCAGAUUCAUAAAAGUCCAUAUCAAUAAUUUAGGCUUGCAAAGUAUUUUAUAGAUAAAAUCAUAAAAGGUAGUCAUGUCAUAAAAUAAUUUACAUAUUUAAAAGAAUUUAUAAAAUACCUUCUUAAAAAGAAUUUAGGCUUUAAAACAUUUACAUAAAACUAAUUUUGUUAUGAAAAUCCAUUAAUCUUCUAAGUAGUAUAAAAAUAUUUUUACUUAUACUAAUAAUAUCAAAAUACUUAUACAUAUCCAGUAUACUAGGAAUGAAGUUACUUAUCUCGACUAAAGAAUUUGAAUUAACACGCCUCUAAGCCUCUAAGAGCCUCAAUCACCUCCAACACCUUAAAGAAAUACAAGAUAUGACAAUUAAUAACUUAUUCUAAGAAUCUGACUUUCUAAUUCAUACCCGUACAGGUCUGAUUCUCAGAAUUUUAACUCUUGAUCUAUAACUCAUAACGACAUAAUGUUCUAUGGAACUGUUAUGGACAUCCAUGAGUACCCCAUGUAAAAUUUGCAAGAGGAUUCGACAUCAAAAACAUUUUCAAAACUAUUUAUGUCUCAACAAUUUUGAAACUGUUUUCACAUAACGUAAACCAAACAGAACGGGUUCUGUGAUUUUUAUAAAAUAAAAUACUAAUCAGAAAAUUAUGAAAUUAAAACUGGGAUUCCUAGACACAUAAUUUAACCUACAUAUAAACUUUCAGAAUUUUCAGAGUUCAUUUGGUGGUACAAAUAAUCUUGUGAAUCCGAUCGCAAUGCUGGAAUCGCAGUUUUCCAGUGCAGUGGUUUCUAUUUCGAAAAUACAUAUAAAAUUGAAAACGAAGUCGAAUUUAAUGAAAUAAAAUUUACUCAAGAAGCCUACAUGUAUAGUUUCCAGAAAUAUAAAUUUUAGAAGAAAAAUCCUUCAGAAAAUAUAGGUUUAAAUUCGAGAUACUCAUGCUGUCCAGAAUUAUCCUGUGCUUAAUACGUCAAUGAUUGAUUAACUAAACUCAUAAUAAAUCAAAACCCUAAACAAAGCCUAAAUACAUUCUAAAUAAUGCAUUAUGAUCUAUAACCAUCUAGAAUCGUGCCAAUAUAAACCCUAGAUAGAGUAAUUAGAAAUCUGUUGAGAAUAGGGAGAAUAACUUACCCGUCGCUUUGAUUCUCUCCUAAACAAAGGUUUGAAUCCUAAGAUUUGGGUAGGAGCGUAAAGAGCAGCAGAGAAGAAGAAUAAAUGUCGUGGACUUAGGGUUAUGGAAGGGAAAAAAAGUGUGAAUUUAUAGGGAGUCUUAAGAAACCCUAUUUAAUUAGGAAAAAUAACCUUUUUUCCAAAAUUAUCUCAUAAAUAACCUCUAUUUAUAAUUAGUAUCCCUUUCUUAAUAAGGGUUAUAGGCCACCCAUAAUUCUCAAAGAAAGUCCAAUUUUCAUAAUUUAAUAUUAUGGAAAUUUGUGGCGUUACAAUAAAACUCUCACAGUAAACACAAGGAUAAAACCAAUAAGCAUGGAGUAGUAGAGUGAUUAAACUCUCUUAAUGGUUUUAACUAUUUCUUCUAAUUUUAGGCUCAGUUGCUACAAUAUCUGCUACAGUACUGGGCAGUAUCCUAUUGUACCCUCAGUUGUCGCAUGUUAGAUGUCUUAUAUCUUUAUGCAACCUAAUUGUGACCAAUUGUUAUGCCAAUAUAAGAUAUAACAUUACAUGCUUAGGUUCUAAUUACCCUAUAAGGUGAAUCUCUAUGCCUAGUUCAUUACUAAUUUUAGAUUAAGUAUGGCCCUUUUGGAAUUAAGUAAAACUCAACUCAGGAAAUCCAACCUAAAACCAAGUAUUGCUCUUAUAUAUUCCACUAAGAUAGACCCUUUUAUGGCUCUUUCUUAUCUUGUAUCAUUAAAUGGAUGGUCAGCCGAAAUAAUAAAUAUAAAUAAAUAUUAUCAAAACAAAAUGCUAUAGCAAACAUGCAGCACCGCAUAUAUUUAGUUAGUAAACCAUCAAGAUUGUUUAUCACUCAACCACAAAUAAAUUUAGUUCAUAAUAUAUAAAAGAAACAUGAACAAUAAAGUUUUAGCCAUCAAAUACAUCCUCAUGAUUAAAAAAUAAACAAGAAAACAAGAGAAAACUAAGAAGGACUGGAUUCCCGAUUGAUUUUUGCAAACUCUCCUCUGACGCAGCCCUUGAUUUUGCUCUUCGAUUUUGUCUUUUCUUUUGUUUCUUUUCGGUUUUUAUUCUAGGUUGAUGGCCUCUUUUUGUUUUUUUUUUGCGCGUGUGCUCCUUUUAUAUAUGAAAAUUAGGGCAACUGGAAGUCUAAGGCACGUAUCUUCUAGAUUUAGAAACUCCAUAUCGUAAUCUGUUAAGUGUCUCUCACGAAAUCUUCUCUUUUAAUGCUCCAGGAUUGCUACAGCAAUGGUUGCUAUAGCAAUGGCUGCAACAUCUGCAUUGUUCCAAACUUAUUUCAAUUCUUCUGCAGCUAUGUUUUUUCAUUUUUUUUGCAAGCUAUUGCAACAACAUCCUUUCCUUGAGAUUCGAACUUCCAAUUACCUACACUUAUGUAUAUGAUUUAAGCACACAAUUAUUCGAAAUCAAACAAAAUUUACUAAAAUUAAACUAAAAUGGAUGUUAAUACAAACUAUCAUCAAAAUGCAAUAAAAACACAUCAUUUACUCUCUAAGUAAUCUUGAUUUAAUCUAAAAAUAUCAUGAUAACUCUCAUUUUAUAGAGUUAUCACACCCCCAAAUUUAAACUAUUACUUAUCCUCAAGUAAUGAUAAUAACAUUAAUACUCAAUCACACAAUCACACAUUAGUAACAUAGCUCUGCCAUCAAGCUUGCAAGGAUUCGUCAACCUUUAGAUCACACUCUUACUGGUGCAAAAUUGACAUAGUAGUUCAAUUAUAGACUUAGGCAUCCUUUUGUCCAGGGUGUAUGUAUGCCACUUUGAUCAAAUUUCAGAGAUGCUGCAACAUUGCACUGCUGUUAUAUACACUUUAGAGGUAGAACACAAGUACAUUCACACAUAAGGGAAAUAGAAAUCACAAACAAGUUCAAACUAUGCUAUAGCAAAAUAUUCUCUCUCUCUCUCUCUCUCGGGUUUUUUUUUAGAUUUCUCUUCAAUGUAUCAUUGAUUUUUUAUAUAAAUGUCUAUCACUUGUGGUGAUAACACCCAAUUUCUCACUUAAUGUACAAAUCAGAGUUGCUGUAGCAAUGCUCACGACAUAGUUUUAUCUAUAAACAUCUUUAACUCAUGGUUGAAUAUGGGGCUCAUGAACAGACCUGGUUACUCAAUAUCCUAGACAUAAGACCUUAUCUCUCUAUUUUUUUUUUAUGCUACAGCAAUGCUCAUGGCUCUUAUUGUCUUUGGACUCAGGUCUGCAUAUGGGGUACAUACUCAGCUCUGGUUACUCAGUAAUUUAAGCCAUUAGAGCUAAAUUUAUACAAGCACAAUUCAACAAAAAAUUUCCCCCAAACUUGAAAUUUUGCUACCUUUCUCAAUUUUCUAGCUUCUGUUACAACAUUCUCAUAAAACUCAGCUAAACCCUAAGUGUUAGGAUAAAAUUCCAACCCUCAUCCAUGAAUUAAUUCUACUUGGCGAUCUCAAAAAUUGAAUAAAACUCACUUUAUCUUCGUGAGGUUUUUCACUCCAUACACAACUACUAGAUAGCAGAGUUACGCAUAACACGAAACACACAAUGCACAACACAAAUACAUGCACCAACACAACCCCCCCCCCCCCCAAACUUGAGAGGUGUUGUGUCCUCACAAGCACACAAAACAAAACAAACCACACAUGCAUACAUUGGCACGAAAGAAAAGCAAAACAAUUAAAAACAAAAGAAAAGUCUCAGAACUUGAAAGAAAUUAGAUUGGGCUAACAGGGGUACUCUCUAUUGUUGGAUGGUUUGCUACAGCACGAGUUGAAAGGUCACUACUUUUUGGUGGAACUCCUCAAGCGGUCCUUGGGCAAACCUUGUGGUGGGAUAGUGGGUUGCUUUUUCUUCUGGCUUAAUGAUGGACUUAUUAGUGGUGUUCCAAUAGGUACACUAGCUUUGGGCUGAAUGGUUCUUGCCCGCUUGUGCUUUGGUUCUUCUAGUGUUGUAGCACCUCCAGAGGUGGCCUCUUUACAUUUGCUAGAUCCCUUGGGGGCUAUGGGAGGAGAUUUGGUUGGCGUUUAGUGUGGAGCAGCUGGAGCAGGUUUUACUGUAGCAGAGUCCUCAGUAGUGAUUUAAGCAAUGAUGUCUAAGAGGCUCUUCUUCUUUAUAACUAUUUUAGUAACCCUUGUGGCAGCUACUUCAAGUUCUGCAUCAAUGUCCUCUGGAUCUUUCUUUGAGUCGUCUUCUUCCAUAAUAUUUUCUUUACCCUUGCUAGAGAGGACUGGGAUUAAGGGCUCAACAUCUUGCUCCUCCUCUGGUUCAUCUUCAUCAUCUCCGAUGAUGUGUUUUUGUCUUCUUUUAGGAGGCACCAUUUGAGCUACCUCAUCUUUCUCCCCCUUUGGGCCCCUUCUUAUUCUUCUUCUCCUAGUGAGCUGUUAGUUUCUAAUUCAGUACCUUCUGUUUCUUUUGGUGCUAGUUGGUCAUUGUUUGUUGACUCUAAUUCCUUUUCACUGGUUAUUGUUUGAGUGGUCGUAGCAUCUUAUUAUGUUGGGUGGAAGUUAAAUUAUUGUAGUAAAGUGUCAGGAAAGUCUAUGUUUUUGCUUUUCAUGUUGAGAGCAAAUUGAUACAAGUGGUCUUCAAGAUGCAUCAAAUCCAAAAUCUAUUAUUUUCUCUCCGUUGUGCCUUUACACAUUGACUGAUAUUGUCACUAAGCUCUUGCAACCUUCUUUCGACCCCAAUGACCCUCUUUGCAUUUACUACAACAAUAGGCUCUAGUGUACCUACAACAGAUUCUCUAGUAAUUCUUUCUAUGGUUCGAGUAGUGAGAGCUCCUUCAUUCUUAAUACGUUCAUCUUUAGUAGUUAUGCUCACUCCCGACACAAGACAUAUGCUGGUGAUAAAAGAAGGAAACAAUAAGGUAGCAAUUUUGUGCUUUUUUAUAGCACACUCUCUAAUCUCUCUCGAUAGUUGUCCCAACAUCAAUUGGCAACCCUUUAACAAUAACAUAUAAAAGAAUCAACCUUUCCUGGGACACGGUGGUGGUGUGUGUUGUAGGCAUCAAUCUAGAUUUCAAAAACUUUACCCAAACUUUGGUAAUCGGUUUCAAAUCAAUCCUAUUUAUUACUCUACCUUCCUCAUUUCCUAAGAACUCCCAUCUACAGUAAGGAUUUUGAGCAUACUAUUCCAUUUCUUGGGGGUCAUGCUUCCAAUCAUUUUUGAGUACUCACAAUCAACAUUAGAAGGUAAAUUGUAAAAAGUAUUGAUUACUCUUGGGUCUAAAGAGACUUGAGUGUUCCUUACCCACAUUAUUCGUUGCUCUUACCCCAACAUUUUGGCAUAAAAUUCCUUGACAAUCGGCAGUAAAAGAUCCCUUGGAUGUUUAUAAAAUUCCAACUAGCCCAUUUUUGCUACAAUAAUGUGGAUAGUGUAGAUUAUUCCAGAAAGUUGUGGCGGGAAUUGGAACCCCUUUUGUUCUAAAAUGUUUCGUGGUUCGAUAAAUUCUUCAAACUUUUCUUCAGCUUUGUAGCCUUGGAAGCGUGAUGGAUUCUUUAGACGGCUUGCCAUCUUCUUGUAUCUCGUCAUUGCUGGAGCAGUUGAAAUAGAUUUGUUGGAUAACAAAGGCUUAAGCUGUAAAAAGAAUCAUGAAUUCUAAGGACUCUUGCUGAGAGAGGAGAAAAAUUUUGAGUUAAAUUCCAAUUGGUACAAUAAAACUCUAAUAUAUAAGUGAUGGUAAAAAUAGAAAUAAAAGAAAAAUUAAUUUACGGAGAUAAAAUUAGAAAUAAGAUUUUGAAGUUAAAACAUAUUCAAUUUAAAUAAGAAAAGGAUAUCAGUUCGGGAGUCUAGGGAUUAUGUAUUCCCUUCGCAUCUUUUUCUUGAUUUACUAAGCCAGUUGUAAAAAAUUUAUUCCCACUCAGUAAAAGAAAAUUUUCCAUAAUUGUGACACUGUAAUGGUAAGAAUUGUUGCUACAACUGAUAAUCUUGUCCUGCAGCACUAUCCAGUAAAGUUUCCCGUUUGAUAAGAAACACUGUCCACUAUCAUGUAAGGUGUAAUGCUAUAGCAACUUGUCUCAACUUCUUGGCCCACAAAUGUUUUUUUAAUAAUUAAAGUGCAGUGAAACAUGGAAAGAAAGUAAUUAAUCAAAAUGAGAUAACCAUAAAGAAAAAGAUGCAAAAAUUAAAUUUAAGGAAAAAAAAUCAAAUAACCUCCCUAAUUAUUGGGUUGCCUCCUAAUUAACGCUUGAUUUUAGGUCCUUCAGCCUGACCUUCCCUAAAUACUCAAAUUAGAUCGGUGAGGCUUACAUCAUCUAUUGAGUCAAACGAGACGUCAUCAAUGUAAUGUUUGAUUUGUUGACCAUUUACCAUAAAUUUCUAAUCAAUUUUUUCGUCCUUGAUUUCUACAGUACCGUGAGGAUAAAUGUUGAUAAGUCUAAAAGGUCUGCACUAUCUAGUUUUUAUUUUCCAGGGAAAAGUUUUAAUCUUGAAUUGUAAAGUAAAACUUGUUGGCUCAUAAUUAAAUUUCUUUGCCGAAUGUGCUUGUCGUGCCAUUGUUUUGUUUUUUCUUUGUAAAUCCCUGCAUUUUCAUAAGAGAACAACCUUAAUUUUUCAAGCUCACAAAGUUGGAAUUUUUGAUGCUCUGCUGCAGCAUGCAUGUCAAUGUUUAGUUGUUUUAAUGCCCAAUAUGCUUUGUGCUUUAGCUUUAAUGGAAAAUGGCAGGCUUUGCCAUAAACAAUUCUGUAUGAAGACAUGCCAGUGGUGUCUUGUAUGCUGUAUGGUAGGCCCAUAGUGAGUCAUGUAAUCUGAGUGACCAGUCCUUUCUAGUGGGUUCACUACUUUCUCCAAAAUCCUUUUGAUCUCUCAGUUGUACACUUCUGCUUGAUCAUUAGAUUAUGGGUGACAUGUUGUAGCAAUCUUGUGCUUAAUUCCAUACUUAACCAGUGCUGUAGCAAAUAUCAUAUUGCAAAAAUGAGUGCCUUCACCACUAAUGAUAGCUCUUGAAGUCCCAAACCUUGAGAAAAUAUUCUUUUGAAGGAAUUUCACCACGGCUUUAGCAUAAUUUGUUGGCAAUGCUAUAGCUUUCACCUAUUUGGACACAUAAUCUACAUCAACUGGAAUAUAUAAGUUUCCAAAAGAUGGUAGGAAGAGUCCCAUUAGGUCUAUCCCCCAUACAUUAAAGAGCUCCACAGCCAAAAUGCUUGUUAAUUGCAUUUCAUGCUUUUGAGAUAUGUUCCCUGUUCUUUGACACUUAUCAUUUGACAAACUCAUAAACAUAUUUAAAAAUAAAGGGCCGGUAAUAACUUGAUUAUAAAACUUUGGCAACUGUUCUAUAACCUCCAAAAUGUCCUCCAUAUGCUGCAGCAUGGCACGAAUAUAGUAUGUAUGGAAUUUCUUCAUCAGAUACACAUCUUUUAAUCAUAUGGUCUGAGCACAUCUUGUACAAGUAUGGCUCAUCCCACUGAUAGCUUCUGACAUCUUGGAAACAUAUCUUCUUAUGCUGAUAAUUCAAAUCAGGUGGUAACAGUCCACUCACCAAGUAAUUAACAAAAUCUGCAUACUAUAGGAGUCUAGAUUGCUGCAUCAUCUGUGCAUGCUGUAGUAUUAGUAGUUGGUCAUCAGGGAAUGUUUCUGUGAUGUCCUAUUUGGUCAAGGUGCUUGCAUCUGUUCUAGCCUUGAGAGAUGAUCUGCUACUUGGUUAUUGGUCCAUUUUCCAUCCUUGAUCUCUAAGUCAAACUCUUGUAGCAAGAGGAUCCACCUUAUCAAUAUUGGUUUGACAUCAUUCUUUGUAAUCAAAUACUUUAUUGCCUAAUACUCUUAUAGGCAGAGUUGAUUUUUAUACUGGAUUUUUUACUUCAUUUGGUCUUCUAACUAACUAAGGACUUGUUGUUGAGCCACUGUGGUGUAUUGAAUCAAGAGCAACCAAUCAUGUAACCAAAGAUGCAUGUAUUUUCACAUCUUAUUUUACUUAUCUUAGGACAGAUAAAUUGCAUAUAAGAAGUGGUAUGGGCUUAGAUAUUUAACAUAUUGGUUAUGCUAUGUUAAGUGCACUCUCUACAACAAAUAUUUAUCUUAGCAACAUCUUGCAUGUUCCUGCAAUCUCCAAAAACCUUUUAAGUGUCCUAAAAUUUUUGUUAACAAUAAUGUUCUUAUUGAAUUUCAUAAAACAUUUUGUUUUGUUAAAACCAAGAAAACAAGGACCAUUUUGCUUCAGGGGAUCGCUAAAGGAGAACUAUAUCAAGUUGAAGGUCUAACUGCAGUCUCUAAUGUUGUAGCUUCUAAUAAUAACAGGCCCAAUGUUUUGUUUGUCACCUCAAAAUCUACUUCCAGUUCCAACACUUUCUAGUGUCAAUGCUUAAUCACUUAAGAGUUUCAUAUUUUAUACACUCCUAUGGAAGGUUGACAAAUACAACUAUUAUUUAAUUCAAUAAUGAAGCCUUAAAAGUCUUGUUUGUUUUUUGUUCUAAGUUAGUUAACUAUAAGUUAGUUAACUAUAAUAUUUAUACACUCCUAUGGAAGGUUGACAAAUACAACUAUUAUUUAAUUCAAUAAUGAAGCCUUAAAAGUCUUGUUUGUUUUGCACAAGAUAAUGAGUCAUCCUACAGUUCAUGCUCUUAAACAAAUCACAAAAUAGAUCAAUUCUGAUUUUGAUGUGAAUAAUGAUAUCAAACUAGACUUCUGUAAUGCAUGUCAAUUUGGUAAAUAUCAUAUGCAUCUCUUUUCCUCCACAAAAACUACCACCAUUCAACCUUUAGAGUUUUUACAUGUUGAUUUAUGGGGAUGAGUGUUGAGUGUUAGAAAAUGCAUAUUUAUAAAGGAGAAAACCGUCAUUUUACAUUUCAAGUCUUACUAACAACCCUUACUUUUAUGUAUUUAACCUUCUUGUGAUGUAAUUACGUGUGUGUUAUUUUAAUUAAGUAUUUUAUGUAUUUUAGGGGCAUUAUAGUCAUUUCACAAUAAAGGAGAGAUCAGACGACAAAACGGACAUCACUUUUGAACUCAGGACGGUCGAAAACCUUAGGAGGGGCAUAAAAGGAAAAAUGGCACUAUUCACAUGUACGGUACUAUUCACGUGUACGGUACUGUCUACGUUACUGUUCACGACACUGUUCACGACACUGUUCACAUAGACGGAUCGAUGACGUGGCAUUGACCGAUGAUGUGGCAUUGACUGAUGAGGUGUCACGAUCCUGUUGGACUAAACUUCUUAUGUACUGUUGAUGGUGACGUGGCAGCAUAUCAGUGGACGAAAAAUCUCGCGUACGGUGCAUGCAUCACACAGGAUUAUUUUCAACCAAACUGCGUUACUGUUCAUCCGGGUCAAACCGUGUUACUGUUCAUCCACGUGGUCAAACCGUGGACUGUUGACUGAUGACGUGGCGCAAUCCUGAGCGUCCAAACUGUUUUUAAUCCGAUGGCCAUGAUUUACUCCAUGUAUCUAUAAAAAGGGGGCCUCCCCCCCCUAAUUUGAUAUCUCUGAAUCCAUUUUUGGGAUCCAUUUUCUGUAAUUCCCUCUCCAUCUUGUAUUUUCUUUGUAUUUUAAUAAAUUCCCAGUUUGCCCCUAGUUCAAUUAUGAGUAGCUAAUUUCCUUUCAAGCUUGGGUUGAAGGUGAAGUCUCAACAUGUGUCAUGGGCUUUAUUUGGUAAAUUUAUUUUCUUUUCCCCUCUAGGUUUUGUGGAUGAUUUGACUUAUCGUCGACAAAUAAUACUGAUCUUGUCUAGAUACCGCCUUGGUUACACCGGCUCUCUAGUAUAAGGUUAUUAUUAUUUGGCACGAUAAGCCCUUAGCACCAUAUUGAUUAGAGCGUGGUUCAUGAGGUGUGGAUUCCCCCCUCAUGAUUUAAUUGGCAUUAAUACGGAUUAUUUAGCCCAUGAUGCAUGUUGAUACGGAUCCAGAUACCCAAGUACGUUAUUUCAAUAGAUUUCUCUUCAAUUUACUCUCGCCAUUGCAAUUCCAGUCUUAGAAUUUAUUAUCGCCAUUUCAAUUCCAAUUUUAGGAUAAUUUAAAUCACUUCCACCACAAUUCCAACAACCCAUUUUGCAAAAUUAAUUCUAUACACAGUUAAAAUCCACCUCCUCGUGGGAUCGACACUCGUCACCAUUGAUCUACACUAUAAUAGAUUCGUGCGCUUGCGAGUUCAUUAAAAUUUGCACAACAAGUUUUUGGCGCCGUUGCCGGGGAGGUAAGUAAUUUUAAUUCAUAGAAUUAAUUUUUGUGAAUAAUUUAUUUUAAAUUGUUUUCUUGUAUUUUUUAUUAAAAAAAGAAAAAAAAAAGUGAAUCUGCAUUUAAAGGUUAGUAUUUCUUUUCUUUUUCUCUUCUUUAAAAUUUUGUAAUUUAAUUUUUAAUUUAUUUUUCUUUGUAAUUUUUGUUUAUCUUAUUAAUUUAAUUUUUAGUUAAUUUAUUUCACGUAUUUAUUUUUGUGUAUUUUUAUAGUAAGGUUGUAAUAGCGCAAUAAGGUUAGUAUCGUAAUUUCUCCCUCUUAUUUAUUUUUAUUUGUUUUGUUCCCAUCUUUAUUUUUAUUUUUAUUUUGCAUGCAUGGUCGUAGGUCAUUAUUACCUAAUCUUGAACCUAUAGACCUUGAAUUAGUAAAAACACUUCGCACACACAAACACGUUAAAAAUAAAAUGGAUUUACAAGCACCACAGGAGAGGCCAUUUAAGGACUAUUUUAGUCCCUUAGCUAAUUUGAGCACAUCAUGUAUAAGAUACCCAAAUGUAGCUGCUAGGAGCUUUGAACUAAAACCUAGUGUGCUAAAUUGUCUCCCCACAUUCUAUGGCCUAGAAAAUGAGGACCCAUAUAAUCAUCUGAAUGAUUUUCAUGCCAUUUGUCAAACUUUUAAAUAUGAAAAUUUUUCAGACGAUGAUGUUAAACUUAGAUUAUUCCCAUUUUCUUUAAAGGAUAGAGCUCGUUCAUGGUUAAAUACUUUGCCUGCUAAUAGCAUUGCAUCAUGGGAACAAAUGGUUACAAAAUUUCUAAAUAAAUAUUUCCCAGUGCAUAAAACCAAUUCUAUUCGCAGGGAAAUUUCAGAGUUUACACAAAGAGAGGACGAGCAGUUUUUCGAAACAUGGGAGCGAUUCAAUGGGCUACUCUUGAAGUGUCCACAUCAUGGGUACGAGAAAUGGCACCAAUGCCAAUACUUUUUGGAGGGAUUAUUGCCGAAUGUGCAAGAAUGGCUAAUGGCAACAAGUGGAGGAGAGCUAAUGUCAAAAAGUGCAUCAGAGAUUUGGGAAUUCUUCCAGCGACAAGCGGAUAAUUCCCAACAACGGAGUCGAUCACUCAGGAAUACUAGAAGGAUUAAAGGAGUGAAUGAGGUUCACAUUGGCGAGUCAACUUCGGGAAUCAAAGAAGUCAAGGAGAUGGUUGAAGGUCUUGCUCGACAAAUAGCAUCGUUGUCGACUGCUAAAUCAACAGAACCACAUGACCAUGACUCAUACUCCGAUCAAGCCAAUGCCAUAGGUGUAAUGAGAAAGCCAUCUAAUUACAACCCAUACUCCAACACAUAUAACCCUGGAUGGAGAGAUCACCCCAAUUUUUCAUGGUCUCAAGGAUUCCAACAGAAUGGACCAACAGCUCCAGCUCCACCACUGCAACAAAUUCCUCAAAAUCCUCAAGCCUCUCAGCCACCAUUCAGACCAUACAAUCAGAACCAGAACUACUCUCAACCCAGACCAUGGGAGGAUGCAUUCCAGAAUUUCAAGAAUGUUACUCACUCCACGAUUGAGCAACAGAAUCGCACCAUUGAUGGACUACGAAAUGAGUUGAGAGCGGGCUUCAACUCACAAGCUCAAUCAGUUUCAAGCCUCGAGAAGAUGGUGGGACAACUUGCUUCUUCAGUUCAGACCUUGGCAAUGACUGUUGAGAAAGGAAAAUUUCCAAGUCAACCAGUGCCUAAUCCUAAAGGAGUACAUGAAGCAAGUACCAGUUCACCACAACAGCAUGGAGAGGUCAAAGCAAUCAUGACCUUGCGAAAAGGAAAAGAAGUCGACAAUAAAGUGGAGAUGCCGGUGACAAAAGAAAAUCAAAUUGUACCUGUAAAUGCUGAGGACUCACCACCGGAGGAAAAAGAAGAAACCAACCCACGAGAAUACGUUCCCAAAGCUCCAUUUCCUCAGAGGUUAGUGAAAGGAAAGAAGGGAAAAUCCACAGGUGAGAUUCUCGAAAUCUUCAAACAGGUAAGUGUUAACAUCCCUUUACUUGAUGCUAUAAAGCAAGUUCCAUCUUAUGCCAAGUUUCUUAAAGACCUUUGUACUAAAAAGAGAAAUAUGCAUGUUCAAAAGAAGGCAUUUUUAACAGAAAACGUUAGUUCUAUACUCCAACAUAAAAUUCCUUUAAAAUGCAAAGACCCAGGCUCCCCCACUAUCUCAUGUAGCAUAGGGAACCACACAAUUGAGAAUGCUUUGUUGGAUUUAGGAGCUAGUGUAAAUCUGUUGCCUUAUUCAGUAUUCGUGAAACUUGGACUGGGAGAAUUACACCCAACUCCAGUGGUGUUACAGCUUGCAGAUCGGUCCACGAAAAUACCUCGUGGUAUUGUGGAGGACGUGCUUAUCCAGGUAGACAAGUUUUAUUUUCCUGUUGAUUUCAUUGUAAUUGACACUCAACCAAUACAGGAUUCAAGGAAGCACAUCCCCAUUAUUCUAGGCCAACCUUUCUUGGCGACUGCGGAUGCUCACAUUCAAUGCAGGACCGGAAAUAUGCAAUUGUCCUUCGGCAACAUGACUAUGGAGCUAAAUAUUUUCAACAUUGCCAAACAACCUCACAGUGCAGAUGAUGGAAUUGUUGAUGUGGAUUUAAUAGAAACAAUAGUCGAUAAUACUUUUAUUUCAAACCUUAGUGAUGAUCCUUUACAAACAUGUUUAACUCACUUUGGUUUGGAUUUUGAUAUUGACAGAUCGGUCGAUGAGGUCAACGCCCUACUUGACUCAGCACCAUCCAUGGACACUAAUAAAUGGAAGUCAAGAGUUGAACAACUAGCACCAUCAGAGAAGAAACUCAUCCCAUCAUCAGAAUCACCACCGAAACUCGAGCUCAAACCAUUACCCAACACUCUGGAAUAUGCAUUUUUGGGAGAAGAAAGUACUCUGCCGGUAAUCAUCUCAUCAUCCCUAAAUGACGAACAAAAAGGUAAGUUGUUGGAUGUUUUAAAAGAGCACAAAGGGGCAUUAGGAUGGACCAUAGCAGACAUAAAAGGUAUAAACCCAGUAGACUGCAUGCAUUACAUUCACCUUGAUGAAAAUGCUAAAUCUACUAGGGAAAUGCAACGUCGGUUAAAUCCUAAUAUGAAAGAAGUUGUUAGAACAGAAGUCCUUAAGCUAUUAGACGUAGGUAUCAUUUACCCAAUUUCUGAUAGUUCAUGGGUCAGUCCUGUACAAGUCGUCCCCAAAAAGUCAGGAGUCACAGUAGUUACCAAUGCUGAUAAUGAAUUGAUACCAACUAGAGUAACUACAGGAUGGCGUGUAUGCAUUGAUUAUAGAAAGUUGAAUUCUGUCACACGUAAAGACCAUUUUCCUUUACCAUUUAUCGAUCAAAUGCUUGAUAGAUUAGCAGGCCACGAAUUUUAUUGCUUUCUAGAUGGCUACUCAGGAUAUAAUCAGAUUCCCAUAGCACCAAAAGAUCAGGAGAAAACUACUUUCACUUGCCCUUUUGGCACUUUUGCAUAUAGGAGAAUGCCAUUUGGAUUAUGUAAUGCACCUGCUACAUUCCAACGAUGUAUGUUGAGCAUUUUUUCUGAUAUGGUUGAACGAUUCCUUGAAGUCUUUAUGGAUGAUUUUUCUGUCUUUGGUGACUCGUUUGAUCAAUGUUUACAUCAUCUAACGCUAGUUCUGCAGAGAUGUACCGAGAAGAACUUAGUCUUGAAUUGGGAGAAGUGCCAUUUUAUGGUAAAACAAGGUAUUGUUCUCGGUCACAUCAUUUCAAGCAAAGGUAUUGAGGUUGACAAAGCCAAGGUGGAUCUCAUUUCUAAUCUUCCUCCACCUAAAACAGUCAGAGAAGUAAGAUCUUUCCUUGGACAUGCUGGUUUUUAUAGACGUUUCAUUAAAGAUUUUAGCAAAGUUUCUAGACCCUUAUGCAAUUUACUUGCUAAGGAUGUACCUUUUAUCUUUAAUGAUUCAUGUCUUAUGGCUUUUGAAAAAUUAAAGCAAUUGUUGACAUCAUCACCCAUCAUUCAGGCCCCAAACUGGAACUUACCAUUUGAGCUCAUGUGUGAUGCAUCUGAUUAUGCAGUAGGAGCAGUAUUAGGACAAAGAGUUGAUCGAAUUCCCCACGUUAUUUACUAUGCUAGUAUGACAUUGAAUGAUGCACAGUUGAAUUAUUCAACUACUGAAAAAGAAAUGCUAGCAGUAGUGUUUGCAUUAGAGAAAUUUCGAUCUUAUCUCAUUGGUUGUAAAAUAAUUAUAUUCACAGAUCAUGCUGCUCUUAAAUAUCUUCUCACAAAGAAAGAUGCAAAAGCUAGACUAAUUCGUUGGGUGUUACUUUUGCAGGAAUUUGACUUGGAAUUCAAAGAUAAGAAAGGGACAGAAAAUGUUGUGGCGGACCACCUCUCUCGUCUCCAUUUUGACACAAUUACAGAGCCAUUAAUAUUAAAUGAGUCAUUUCCAGAUGAACAAUUAAUGAGUGUGGAAGUAUUACCUUGGUAUGCUGAUAUAGUUAAUUAUCUUGUUACAGGUAAAUUUCCAGAGCAUUGGACCAAGCAAGACAAGGCUAAAUUCUUUGCGGAAAUAAAGAAUUUCUUUUGGGAUGACCCAUAUUUGUUCAAGUAUUGUGCAGACCAAAUUGUUAGACGAUGUGUCCCUGAAAGUGAAAUUCAGAAUAUCCUUUCAUUCUGCCAUGAACAAGCUUGUGGAGGCCAUUUCAGUGCUAAGAAAACAGCGACUAAAGUUUUACAAUGUGGUUUCUAUUGGCCAACUAUAUUUCGAGAUGCUUACACUUUCUGUUCUUCAUGUGAUAGGUGUCAACGAAUGGGGAGCAUUACACGAAGGAACAUGAUGCCACUAAAUCCAAUUUUAGUGGUUGAGAUUUUUGACGUAUGGGGUAUUGACUUCAUAGGACCCUUUCCCCCUUCUUUUGGCCAUCAAUACAUAUUGGUUGGUGUUGACUACGUCUCAAAAUGGGUAGAAGCAAUUCCAUGUAGAACCAAUGAUCACAAAGUGGUGAUAGGAUUUUUGAAAAGCAACAUUGUCUCGCGCUUUGGAUUCCCUCGAGCGAUAAUUAGUGAUGGUGGUGCCCACUUUUGUAACAAAGCAUUCAAAGCUCUUUUGACAAAGUAUUCAAUCACACACAAAGUGGCAACCCCGUAUCAUCCGCAAACCAGUGGCUAAGUUGAGAUCUCCAAUCGAGAAAUCAAGCACAUAUUAGAAAAAACGGUGAGGCCAGACAGAAAAGAUUGGUCAUUAAGACUUGAUGAUGCAUUAUGGGCAUAUAGAACGGCUUUCAAGACCCCGAUUGGGAUGUCACCCUACAGGCUAGUGUAUGGAAAAGCUUGCCACCUACCUGUGGAACUCGAGCAUCGUGCAUAUUGGGCCAUCAAGAAAUUCAACUUUGACAUGCAGCAAGCCAGCUCAGAAAGAAGAUUACAGCUGACAGAACUUGAAGAAAUUCGCAAUGAUGCAUACGAAAAUGCCAAGAUUUACAAGCAACGAAUGAAAGUCUUCCAUGAUAAGCACAUUAUGAGAAAAUCGUUCACUCCAGGUCAGAAAGUGCUUUUAUUCAAUUCUCGCUUGCACAUAUUCCCAGGUAAGUUACGCUCUCGAUGGUCUGGUCCCUUUAUUGUUCAUACUGUUUUUCCACAUGGGGCAAUUGAAAUUAAGGACCCAAAGAAUGGUGUCACGUUUAAAGUUAAUGGUCAAAGAUUAAAGCCAUAUCUAGAAUACCAACCACAUGGAGAAGACACCGAAAUAAAUUUGAGUGACCCACCAAAUUUGAAUUGAUUUUUUUUUUCUUCUUUUCGUUGAUUUGAUUUUUCUUUAUUUCUUUUUAUUAUUAUUCUUUUGCUAAUUGAAAUUGUUUUUGCAUAAGUGUGUUUAUUUUACCAUUAAGUUUUCUCUUAUCAUUUUUAAUCAUGAGUACCUUGCUUAGACCGUUCCUCCUGAACAUUCUUAAACCACUUCAACGUGUCAAAACUCAUCUCAAAAAGCAGAUUCUAUUUUGUAAAACACAUCGCAUUUGGGCUCUACAACCACCAGAGUUAGUAGCCUAUGUUGAGGGUUUAGAACGCCAACUCAGAGACAUUGAGAGAAGUGUUUACGACAUCCAGUUGGAGCUUGAGGUAAAUUCAAUAAGAGGACGAUUUUAAUUUUCUUUGUGUGUUUUAAUUUGUUUUUCUGUUUGUGUGCUUUAGUUUGUUACCCCGGUGAAGUGGCGGAUAACGGUACUCCGUGACAAUCAAGUCGGUUACUUCAGUUUCCCAUAAUAACUGACAUUCUGAGGCGAAAGUAUGGACAGAAACGAGAUUCUAGCGAAGCUUCACAAGCGAUUCCCUUCACUUCCUCAGAAUGCCCUCUUUACGAUCUAUAAAGCUCGGUCCGAACGCAUGCGAUUACUCAUGAAGAAUAACAUACCUGCUGACAUCCGUUGGUUAAUCGAGGCUAAAGUACGAUCGGCAGGUGAGUUACCUCCAAGAUUUAUUGCAUUCAUGCCUGGUUGUGGUAAAGGAAAUUAUGCAAGAAAACGACGAGCUCGAAGAAUUUCUGUUGCUUGUCAUAAGUGUGCCAGAAUGAGUUGCGAUAGAAACCCAUGUUCUUUAGGAAUAGUGUCUGAUAACAGGGAAGAUAAGAUUCAAUUCAUUAGGGAUGGCUUGAAUAAGGAGUCAUUGGAUGAUAUCCUUUUGUCUCUUGAAACGCAUCCCAGUGGAUAUGUGCAAGGAGCGAUUCUCCGGUUAUGGCCAUUAUUCCAGAAAGAGCAUGCACGAUAUAGUCUCGGGAAUCUGACUAUAAACGACCCUGUUUGUCAGUUUAUAAGAAAACUGGAUGGGAAGCCGAUCCUCGACCCAUAGAGGGCGUUCAAGCCGUUUCUGGACGUAAAACCAGAGGAAGAUGUGAGCCACAGUCGCAACUAUGUGUACAUAUCCUUUUACUUUACUGUUAUUUUAUUUCAUUUCACUGUUGUUUUAUUGUUUGCAUUAUUGUCUUUAAUAAUUUUAUUACUGUUUGCUUUUUCCUUUUUACUGUUUCCUUUUUGACUCGCGAGCCAUGUGCUUCACGCGUUAUUUGACACUGACAUGUUACCUCAUUCACAACUGUGACCCACUAUCACCAAGACUCUUAAAUGUGAUUUCUUUUGUCAAAUACUCACAAAUUAUUUUUGAGAAAUAUUCCAAUGGCAGCUACUCCCAAUAGACAAUUCAAGAACAUUUGUGUGCUUUCUGGAUUUACCUAUGGCAAACAUAAAGAGUUCGUGGAGGCAGCCAUAGAUCUUGGUCGAAGCAUAGCAGCGAGAAAAUUACACUUGGUGUAUGGAGGAGGUAACCGAGGGUUAUCAAAAAUGGUCUCAGAAGCAGCUUUUAUCAGAGGAAGUCAAGUGUUAGGCAUCAUCCCAAGAGUCCUAAAACCAUUGGGCAGUUCGUCUGACUCAUCCACUGGAGAAGAGUUAGUCGUCUCAGGUAUGCAAGAAAGAAUAACUGAAAUGCUUAAUCAUGCUGAUGCUUUUAUUUUCCUUCCAGGAGAUCUUGCAACACUAGAGGCACUUAUGACACUAGCAUCUUGGGCCCAUCUGCACAUCCACCAGAAACCUAUCGGUUUGUUAAAUGUCAAUAACUUUUAUGAUGGCUUUAUCGCAUUUCUUAACCAUGCAAUAAAAAACUAUUUCAUUCCUUCUAAUGUGAAAAAACUCUUUAUUUGUGCUCACACUGCUAAUGAGCUACUUGAUAUGUUACAAGCUUAUAAACCGGAGCCAGACCCCUGGACCUUUGUGUUGGAGCGACCAAAUAAUGAUAGUAACAGUAGCCGCAGUAAGAAGUACAAAUUAGAUUUAACUCUCCGCCUGUAAAUAUUUUCUUCUGUGUUGCACCACCCAGGUGAUGUCUUCUAAACUCUACUUCUUUCCUUUAAAACAUUGAGGACAAUGUUUCGUUCUGGUUGGGGGGAGGGAAUAGUCGACAAUUGUGGAAUCUUGGUUAAGUUUUUACUGAUUUUUUGUUGUAGAAACUAACUGUUGCUAACAUUUUAUGUUGAAGAUGGCUGAAUAUGGAGUGUAGUUACUCUAGAAACGCAUCUUCAUCGUUUAAAAAAAAAAAAAAAAAAAACCGUUUUCUUCCUCUUUCUCCUUUAUAAAUAUAUAUUUUCAAAUUUUUGAGUCGAAGAUGGCUGAAUAUGGAGUGUAGUGCCUCUAGAAACGCAUCUUCUUAGUUAAAAAAAAAAAAAAAUUCUUUUUCUAAUUAAUUUUUUCUACAUCAUUUUCACAUUUCUGCAUGCAUAUUUUCCUUUCAUGUUUAGAAUAGGUUGGGGGUAGAAUGUUGUUUAAAAAAAAAAAAAAAUUGUGUUAUUUGUUUUAACAUUGGAUGACAUGAUUAAUUUCAAAUUUUAGUAUUUGUAUUAUCUUUGGUCUUAAGUGAUGUUACGCUAUGUUUGCUACUUUACAUGUUGAUGUCGGAGACAAAUAUGAGUUGCUUGAAGGAAUGAACAUGUCAUAAAUAAGUGCCAAGUGAGUUGUUGCGCCUAUCAUUUUCUUGGAGAGUAACCCUUUUGCCCAUUCUCUAUACAGCUUAGCAGUUUAUUAUUUUAUACACGAUCUCUAGAUUUCUUUUAAGUUAACCCUUUAAAAAAAAUAUAUGGUAAAAUUAAAAAAAAGAAAAAAGAAAAAAAUGUGUGUUGCUACAUUGGGAGGCCCAUCUAACUAGUAGAUAUGGAUAAUUAUUUAGAGCCCUAAAAGACGAUGGAAAGGCCAUCUUUGAUCCGUUUGAGCCUUUCUAGCCAUCCCUUUUAUUAAAUAUCCAUAGUUACCCCUUUUGAGCCUUUAAAAAAAAAAAAAAAGAACAAAAACCUUUUCUUUGUCAACUUAUCAUCUUGACCCACUCCGAUUUGGAGUAUUACCCAAUGUCUUUUAAGUUCCAUCACCUAUUUAUGUUUGAGAAAAUGUAAAUAAUUAUGUUGUUCAGUGAAGUUAUGCCAAAUAAAAGCAAAAAGAAAAAAGAAAAAACAAAAACAAAAGUUGUUGUUUUAAAAGAAUAAAAAUAACAAUAAUAGGUGAAAUCCACCUUGCAAGUUCCAAAAAAAAAAAAAAAAAUUCUGCAUUUUUCUCAAACAUACACUUUGUUUUCCUUAUUUCCUUUCUUUGUUAGCCAUAUCCCUAGCCUACGUUACGUCCUAAUAAAAGUCCUUCUUGAUUUUAGGGAACUAUAGUUUGAAGUAGAAGCUAGUUAUAUGGGCUAAAAAGAUGUAGUGAUGCAUAAUAAAAAAAAAGAUAAAUAAAGUGGGUUGACUAACAUUUUAUUUGACUUGAGAUCGUAUUAUUUCUAAGCUGAGGGCAUAUUUAUUUCAUCUUGGUGAGAGCAUGUGAUAUCAUUUCUUUAUUAUUUUCUCUCUCAAUUACCAUUCAUUGGAGUGACUAUGUUUAUUGGGUUUUAAUUUCUUUGUGAGAGUGUCACUACUUCCAGUGAGAUUUUGGGGUUUGACAUGUCAUUCUUGAAAGUAGCUAUAACAAAGUCUACUGGGCUAAUUCAUGUGGAUGGUUGAUGUGGGUGUGAUGUUGCUUUAGACUGAAGAUAAUGCUUAUACUUUUAUUUGAUUGCUAUCAUUAAUCUGAUUGAAUAAACACGAGUGUUUCCAAAAAAAAAAAAAAAAAAAAAUCAUUUUGAAUUUGAAUUUUGUUUUCGCAUUAUUUGCUAGGGACUAGCAAUAAGCUGGUUGGGGGGUGUGUUGAGUGUUAGAAAAUGCAUAUUUAUAAAGGAGAAAACCGUCAUUUUACAUUUCAAGUCUUACUAACAACCCUUACUUUUAUGUAUUUAACCUUCUUGUGAUGUAAUUACGUGUGUGUUAUUUUAAUUAAGUAUUUUAUGUAUUUUAGGGGCAUUAUAGUCAUUUCACAAUAAAGGAGAGAUCAGACGACAAAACGGACAUCACUUUUGAACUCAGGACGGUCGAAAACCUUAGGAGGGGCAUAAAAGGAAAAAUGGCACUAUUCACAUGUACGGUACUAUUCACGUGUACGGUACUGUCUACGUUACUGUUCACGACACUGUUCACAUAGACGGAUCGAUGACGUGGCAUUGACCGAUGAUGUGGCAUUGACUGAUGAGGUGUCACGAUCCUGUUGGACUAAACUUCUUAUGUACUGUUGAUGGUGACGUGGCAGCAUAUCAGUGGACGAAAAAUCUCGCGUACGGUGCAUGCAUCACACAGGAUUAUUUUCAACCAAACCGCGUUACUGUUCAUCCGGGUCAAACCGUGUUACUGUUCAUCCGCGUGGUCAAACCGUGGACUGUUGACUGAUGACGUGGCGCAAUCCUGAGCGUCCAAACUGUUUUUAAUCCGAUGGCCAUGAUUUACUCCAUGUAUCUAUAAAAAGGGGGCCUCCCCCCCUAAUUUGAUAUCUCUGAAUCCAUUUUUGGGAUCCAUUUUCUGUAAUUCCCUCUCCAUCUUGUAUUUUCUUUGUAUUUUAAUAAAUUCCCAGUUUGCCCCUAGUUCAAUUAUGAGUAGCUAAUUUCCUUUCAAGCUUGGGUUGAAGGUGAAGUCUCAACAUGUGUCAUGAGCUUUAUUUGGUAAAUUUAUUUUCUUUUCCCCUCUAGUUUUUGUGGAUGAUUUGACUUAUCGUCGACAAAUAAUACUGAUCUUGUCUAGAUACCGCCUUGGUUACACCGGCUCUCUAGUAUAAGGUUAUUAUUAUUUGGCACGAUAAGCCCUUAGCACCAUAUUGAUUAGAGCGUGGUUCAUGAGGUGUGGAUUCCCCCCUCAUGAUUUAAUUGGCAUUAAUACGGAUUAUUUAGCCCAUGAUGCAUGUUGAUACGGAUCCAGAUACCCAAGUACGUUAUUUCAAUAGAUUUCUCUUCAAUUUACUCUCGCCAUUGCAAUUCCAGUCUUAGAAUUUAUUAUCACCAUUUCAAUUCCAGUUUUAGGAUAAUUUAAAUCACUUCCACCACAAUUCCAACAACCCAUUUUGCAAAAUUAAUUCUAUACACAGUUAAAAUCCACCUCCUCGUGGGAUCGACACUCGUCACCAUUGAUCUACACUACAAUAGAUUCGUGCGCUUGCGAGUUCAUUAAAAUUUGCACAACAAUGAGCUCCACUCUUAUCUUCUCUAGACUAUCAAUAUUACCUAUUUACCGUAGAUGACUUCACUAGAUUCACUUGGAUAUGUCCUCCUACUGUUAAAUCCAAAGCUUUAUAAUCUUUUGCUAAAUUUCAACACAUGAUAGAGAACAAUCUUAAUACUAAGAUCAAAUAUCUUCAAAUAUAUUGGAGAGGAGAGUUUAGAUCAUUUACAUGUGAUCUUAUUGAAUAAUGAAUACAAUCUAGGCAUCUUUGCAUUCACCAUCAAAAUAAAAUUUUGGAGUCAGUACUUACACUUGUAGUAUAACCACACUUAUCAUUAAAAUUUUGGUGGCAUACUUUUCAUACUACCACUUAUCUCAUUAAUAAACUUCCUACCCCUGUUUUAGGUAACAAAUCAACUAUUAUGUAGAAAGAAACCUAAUUAUUCUGUCAUGAAAUUGUUUAGAUGUGCUUGUUUUCCUUAUUUCAAAGCAUACAGUCAUAAUAAAACUUGAGUUCAGAAUAAGUAGAUUAUAUUUCUUGGUUAAAAUUCACUUCAUAAAGGUUAUUUGUGUCUUCAUUCUUGAAGAAGAAUCUAUAUUAGUAAUCAUGUUGUCUUUGAUGAUCCUUGCUUUCCUUUUGAAUCCAGAGUUGAUUUUUUUUUUUUUUAGUUGAUGCCUCUUGUCUCUCUUCAUGUUCAAAAUGUCACUUAUUAGGAAAAUUUUAUUGAACUCGCAUGUGCACGAAUCUAUUGUAGAAUAGAUCGAUGGUGACAAGUGUCGAUCCCACGAUGAGGUGAAUUUUAAUUGUGUGUGGAAAUAAUUUUCUAAGUAGGUAGUUGGAUUUGUGGUGGAAGUGAUUUAGAUCAUCCUAAAAUUUAAAUGAAAAUGGUGGGAAUCAAUUAAAGUGAAAACUAUUAAAAUAAAGUGCUUUGGUCUCUGGAUCUGCACUCAACAUGCACCAUUGGUUUAAUAUUCCUUAUUAGUGUCAAUUAAAUCAUGAGGGGAGUUUCCACUCCUCAUGAACCACACUCUAAUAAAUAUGGUGCUAAGGGCUUAUCGUGUCAAAUAAUAAUAGCCUUGUACUAUGGAAACGGUUAACCAGUGCAAUAUUUAGGCAAGAUUAUUACUAUUUGUCGACGAAAAAUCAAAAUAUCCACAUAAUUCAGAGGGGAAGAGAAAGUAAAUUUACCAAAUUAAGCCCAUAAAACAUGUUGAGGCUUCACCUUUAACCCAAGCUUGAAAGAAAAUUAACUACUCAUAAUUGAACUAGGGGUAAAAUAGAAAUUUAUUAAAAUACGUAGAAAAUACAAGAUAGAGAAGGAAUUACAGAAAAUAGAGCUCAAAAAUGGAUUCAGGGGUCUCAAAUUAGGGGGGAGCCCCUUAUUUAUAGAUACAAUCAGUAAAUCAUGGCUAUUGAAUUAAAACAAUUUGGACGCUAAGGAUUGCGACACUUGGCAAGUUCUGAUUGGAUGGAACACGUCAUCAAGGUUGUCAUUCCCUGUAUAUGCAUGUAUCAUACGCGCGUUUUUCGAUCCAUUAACAUACUACCACGUCACUAGUCAACUCUUUAGUCCAAUAAGAUCGUGACACAUCAUCGGUCAACGCCAAGUCAUUAAUCAACGCCACAUAAGCAGUCAAUGCCACAUCAUUCAUCCAAUAGAAUGCCACCACGUCAUUGGUUAGUGCCACAUCAUUAGUCAAUGCCACAUUAUCGUACUGUAUAUGUGAACAGUGUCGUGAACAGUACCGUACAUGUGAACAAUGUCGUUUAUCCUUUUAUGCUUUUUUUAAGGUUUUCGACUGUCCUGAGUUCAGAAUUGUUAUCCAUUUUGCUAUCUGAUCUCUCGUUCAUUGUGAAAUGACCAUGAUGCCUCUAAAAUACAUAAAAUAUUUAAUUAUAAUAAAACACACAUAAUUAAAUCACAAGGGACUUAAAUACAUAAAAGUAAGGAAGUUAGUGAGACUUUGAGUGUAAAAUGACGAUUUUCUCUUUUAUAAAUAUACACUUUCUAGCACUCAACAACACUCUCAUUCUUUAUUUCCAAAUGAAUCUUCUUCUUCUCCUAAAAUUCAACUGAUGUGUACAAAUCUCAAUCUUCAAUAACAAAUGUCCUCCACUUUCUCUUAUACCUCCACAAUAGUCCAUCCACUCACUUUUACCUUCACUUUUGCUUGUUGUCUCUCUAUAUAUAGAAUAAACAUCUUCACCAGUUCAUUAAUUAACUCAUCCACAAUCACUAUCUAUCUGUUAGCCUAAAGGGCUACUCAUAAUGUAAUUUUUAUGAUAACAAACAUAUGUAUUAAGUGAUUAAAUAGAUAUUGUAUUUCACAUUUUCACUAGUUUUUGAAGGGUAAUAUUUAUGCAAGUGAAUCAAGUGAAAUCAAGGUCAAGACACUCAACGGACAAACGGCGAAACCAAGAAUAAAGUUUAGAGCUCAACGAAUAAAUUAGUGCGAUAAAUUCUUGUAAAGCCGGUAUGAUUUAAUUGAUGCAUGAUUUAGCAUUUGAGAAGCUCAAGAGAUUAAUUUAAUUAAAUACUUUUCAUAAACUAAAAUGUUUUAUUUUUAUAAAGUAAAGUAUUUUGUGGAUUUAAGUAAUUUGGACUUAAAUGCUAAGAUUUGAAAUCUUUGAUUUUAAUAAGUAUUAAAUUUCGGAGUUGUAAGUUUUUAUAAACAUUUGAAAUGUUUUGGGCCACACUAUAAUUUAUGAAUAUUUUGGACUAAAGUGAAAGGUUUUGAGAACUUUGAAAAAUAUGGGUAAAAUGACCUUUGUGCGACAUAAUAAAAUCUUUGGGGCCAUAUCAUAAUUUCAGUAAGUUUGGGGAAGACAACUAUUCUUAUGAAGUUUUGAAAUUGGACCUAUUUGCAAAGUUUUAUGACGUUUUGGGCCAUAGUAUAAUUAUAGAAAUAUCACUGUUCCUGAGCGGCUAGCCGGAUAAUCAAGCGGCUAACCGCUUGGGCGCGGGAAUUUACCUAUAACGACUAGUUUUUGGGCUUUCACUAUAAAAACUCAACUUAAACUUCAUUGUAAGAACCAAUGCAAGCAAAUAUAAGAUCAUACAACAUAUAUUGAGCUUCCAAAACGCAAAUCAUCAUAGAUUGAAUCAUUGUGAGCUAUUAUUUGCAUAUCCACUCUUAAAGAGAGUUUUUGUUGUAAUUUUCAUUUCUUAUCAAAUUAUGAGUGUAUGAGUGUGAGAAACACUUAGGGUAAAGAGAUUGGGGAGAUAAUCUCUUGAUUGUAAAGGUUCAUUGACACUUUGUAAGUCAAUUGUAAGAACUUGAAGCCUUGGGAGGCUUGGAUAGUGAAAUCCUCGAGCUUGGUUGGCUUGGAGGCGUGGACGUAGGCGGGGAUUGCCGAACCACGUAAAAAUCUGUGUGUUUGUUUUUCUCUUCCCUUACUCUUUUAUUUUUACGCUUGUUUGAAUUUAUUGUUUUCUAUUUCAUUAAGGCGUUAGAUUAAUUUGUUGAGCGAAUUGUAUUGCAUAAUUUUUAAAAUCCCAAUUCACCCCCCCUCUUGAGUUGCGUUACUUGUAUUUCAUUUGGUAUCAGAGCUUGGUUCUCUUGUUAGGACUUAACCGUCUAGAGUAAAAGAUCCAUGGCAACCCAAAAUGAUUCAACCUUUAGGGAAGGACAAUCCACAACUAGGCCACCAUUCUUUGAUGGAAAUGACUACCCGUAUUGGAAAACUAGGAUGAAAAUUUAUUUACAAGCACUAGAUUAUGAAAUUUGGGAAGUUGUAUGUGAUGAUCCAUUUAUGCCUUUGACUAAAAAUGAAUUCGGGGAAGACAUUCCAAAACCUUCACGGGAAUGGAAUGAAUUGGAAAAGAGAAAAGCUUCUCUAAAUUCCAAAGCCAUGAAUGCUUUGUUUUGUGCACUCGAUAAGAAAGAGUUUCAUAGAGUGUCUAGUUGUGAAAGUGCUAAUGAAAUUUGGCACAAACUUGAAGUUGUUUAUGAAGGCACGAAUCAAGUGAAAGAGUCUAAAAUUAGUAGGUACACUCGGCAAUAUGAAUUGUUCCAAAUGGAAUAAAAUGAGAGUGUGUAUUCUAUGUAUACUAGAUUCACGGACAUAGUAAACACUCUAGGAGCCCUAGGAAAGACCUUUUCAAAUAGCGAGAAAGUUAAGAAAAUCAUUAGGUCAUUACCUAAGGAAUGGAGACCAAAAAGGACUGCCAAUGAGGAAGCUAAAGAUUUGAAUAUCUUACCUAUUGAUGAUUUAAUUGGUUCUCUUAUUUCUUAUGAGGAAGAUUUGGCAGCCGAAAGAGGACAUAAGGAAAAGAAGAAAAUCAUUACACUCAAAGCCAUAAAAUAUGAGAGUGAUGGAGAAAGUGAGCCGGAUGAUGAGGAGUUGGCUAUGCUAGCAAGGAGGUUCAGAAAAUUUUUCAAGAAAACCGGUGACCAAAGAAAAUUUAGAAACUUCAAAAACCAAAAGGAGAAGAAAGAGGUAAUCAUAUGCUAUGAAUGCAAAAAGCCCGGCCAUAUAAGAUCGGAAUGCCCACUUCUCAACAAACUCAAGAAGAAAGCUAUGGUUGCUACUUGGGAUGAUAGCGAUGAAGAAGAAUCGCAAGAAGUAUCAAACCUAGCACUUAUGGCAAUAGGAGAUGAUGAUGAUCUCAAUGAGGUAAGUGAUCCAACCUAUGAUGAAUUAUAUGAUGCUUUUAAAGAAAUACAUGAUGAGUUAAUGAAAAUUGGUAAAAAGAAUACAUGCCUUAAAAAGAAAUUGCUAGAAUUUACAAAUGAAAAGGAUGCCAUGCAAAAAUGCAAUGAGUCAUUGAAUGAGAAGAUUAAAGGAUUAGAAUUAGAGAAUAAAACCUUGUAUAAUAGAGUUGCAUUAUCAAAUGAAAAACCUAACACUUCACAUGAGCAUUUAGAGUCACAUGUAGAUGAUUUGAAAAAGGAAAAUGAAAUGCUCAAGAAAAAUAAUAUUGAACUUAGUAAUGUUGUUCUAAAAUUUACAAAUGGGUAAAAGAUGUUGGAUAACAUGCUUAACUCUCAAAAAUGUGUUUUUGAUAAAGGAGGACUUGGGUAUAAGCCUAACUUGAAGUAUUAUAAGAAUUAUUUUGUUAAAGCUACCUCCACAAGUGAUCAUAAGAUUGUUUGUCAUUAUUGUAAUCAAAAUGGUCACAUGAAAUAUAGAUGUCCCGUGAAAAGGAAUGCAUAUUAUGGUGUCAAAUGUAUUUGGGUUCCAAAAGGAACCGUUGCUAACGCUCAAGGACCCAAAAACGUUUGGGUACCUAAGACAUAAGAUUUUCUUUGCAGGGCUUGAAGAAAAAGAAAAAUAAAUGGUACUUGGAUAGCGGAUGUUCUAGGCAUAUGACCGAAAACUAUGCAUGGUUCUCAAGUUUUACCAAAAUCGAAAAUGGUAGAGAUGUAUCCUUUGGAGAUAACUCAAAAGGAAAAAUUCUCGGAAUUGGUAAUGUUGGUAAAGUUUCUUCAACUCUUAUUGAAAAUGUGUGUUUGGUUGAAAAUUUGAAACACAAUUUGAUUAGCAUUAGUCAACUAUGUGACAAAGGUUAUAAAGUUGCUUUUGAUAAAUCAAGAUGUGUUAUUGAGAAUGCAUGUGAUGGGAAAAUUUUGUUUAUGGGAAAUAGAUGUGGCAAUGUUUACACGAUUGAUAUAGAGUGUGCAUCUACUCAUGAUAAAUGUUUUUCGGCAUUGCAUGAUGAUGGUUGGUUAUGGCAUAGAAGACUAGGACAUGCAAGCAUGGAUUUAAUUUCAAAAAUUUUGAAAAAUGAUUUAGUUAAAGGUCUUCCAAAAAUUAGUUUUCAAAAGGAUAGAAUUUGUUAAGCUUGUCAAUUUGGAAAACAAAUCAAAACUUCUUUAAAAAACAAGAAUCAUAUCUCUACUUCAAAACCUCUUCAAUUACUUCACAUAGAUUUGUUUGGACCUUCUAGAUAUGUUAGUUUAAGUGGCAAAUUCUAUGCAUUUGUAAUUGUAUAUGAUUAUUCUAGAUACACAUGGGUAUUAUUCUUAACUAAUAAGGAUGAUGCCAUUGAUGCAUUUAGAAUUUUCUGUAAAAAUGUUCAAAAUGAAAAUGGUUAUUCUAUUACUUGUAUUAGAAGUGAUCAUGGUGGAGAGAUUGAAAAUCAUGCAUUUGAAAAUUUUUAUAAUGAUUUUGGCAUUGAGCAUCAAUUUUCAUCACCUAGGACUCCACAACAAAAUGGAGUUGUUGAGAGAAAGAAUAGGUCUAUUCAAGAAAUGGCUAGGACCAUGUUAAAUGAAAAUGCAUUACCAAAAUAGUUUUGGGCCGAAGCCGUCAACACCGCUUGUUAUGUUUUAAAUCGAGUGUUGAUUAGAUCUCAUCUCAAUAAAACUCCCUAUAAGCUUUGGAAAGAUAGAAAACCCAAUAUUGGUUAUUUCAAAGUUUUUGGAUGCAAAUGUUUUAUUUUUAACACAAAAGAUAAUCUUGGUAAAUUUGAUCCAAAAUCUGAUGUUGGCAUCUUUCUCGGGUAUUCAAACUCAAGCAAAACUUAUAGAGUUUAUAAUAAAAGAACUUUAGUUGUGGAAGAAUCCAUGCAUGUUAUGUUUGAUGAAUCUAACCCCUCAUUUGCGGAGAAAUGAGUUGUUAAUGAUGAUGCAGAUGGAGAGUUACAAGAAGAAUUAUCAAAAGAGAAUCAAGAGCAUGCACCACAAGAAAAUCAAGAGGAUAGACAAGAAGAACAAACAAAUAUGAAGCUAGAGCAAUAAGAAGGUAGUUCUCAAACACUCCCCAAGGAGUGGAGGUAUGUUUCCUCUCAUCCUAAGGAUUUAAUAUUAGGUGAUCCUUCAAGAGGUAUAACAACUAGAUCAUCACUUAGAAACACAUGUGAGCAUGCUUCAUUUAUUUCUCAAAUUGAACCAAAAUCUUUUGCGGAUGCGGAAAAUGAUGAGUUUUGGAUUAUGGCAAUGCAAGAGGAGUUAAAUCAAUUUGAGAGAAAUAAAGUAUGGGAAUUGGUUCCUAAACCGGAACAUCAAUCCAUUAUAGGAAUGGGUAUUUAGAAAUAAAAUGGAUGAAUCCGGUGUGGUUGUAAGAAAUAAAGCUAGAUUAGUGGCUCAAGGAUACAACCAAGAAGAAGGAAUCGAUUUUGAUGAAACAUUUGCACCUGUAGCAAGAUUAGAAUCCAUUAGGAUGUUGUUAGCAUUUGCAUGUCAUAAAGAUUUUAUUUUAUUUCAAAUGGAUGUCAAGAGUGCUUUCCUAAAUGGUUAUAUUAUGGAGGAAGUUUAUGUGAAACAACCCCCUGGUUUCGAAAAUGAGAAAUUUUCAAAUCAUGUGUAUAAGUUAUCAAAAGCAUUGUAUGGAUUAAAACAAGCACCUAGAGCAUGGUAUGAUAGGCUUAAAAAUUUCUUGUUGGAUAACGAUUUUUCGAUGGGAAGAGCGGAUACUACCCUCUUUAUUAAAAAUAAAAAUCAAGAUAUACUUGUUGUUCAAAUUUAUGUUGAUGAUAUUAUUUUUGGUUUUGCUAAUGAAUCUUUGUGCAAAAAAUUUUCCUCUUGUAUGAGUAAGGAAUUUGAGAUGAGCAUGAUGGGAGAAUUGAAGUAUUUUCUUGGACUUCAAAUCAAACAAAACAAUGAGGGGAUCUUCAUCAACCAAGCUAAGUACGUCAAAGACUUGCUCAAGAGAUUUGGUAUUGAUGAAUCAAAUACCAAGAAUACUCCAAUGAGUACAACAAUCAAGCUUGAUAAAGAUGAAAAAGGUAAAGAGGUUGAUAUUAAAAAGUAUCGAGGUAUGAUCGGAUCCUUACUUUACGUAACCGCAAGUAGACCCGAUAUCAUGUUUAGUGUAUGUUUUUGUGCACGAUUUCAAUCAUGUCCCAAGGAAUCUCAUUUGCUUGCUGUUAAAAGAAUUUUUCGUUAUUUGAGUGGAACCAUAGAUAUUGGCCUUUGGUAUCCUAGAGAAACUCAUAUAGAUUUAACUUGUUAUUCGGAUGCCGAUUUUGCUGGUCACAAGGUCGAUAAGAAGAGUACUAGUGGAACUUGCCAUUUUCUUGAUCAUUCACUUGUUUCAUAGUUUAGUAAGAAACAAAAUUCAGUGGCACUCUCAACUAUUGAGGCGGAAUAUAUUGCCGCAGGUAGUUGUUGUGCACAAGCACUUUGGAUGAAACAAACACUUAGAGACUAUGGUAUUUAUCUUGAACAAAUUCCUAUCAAGUGUAAUAAUACUAGCGUCAUGAAUCUUUCAAAGAAUCCCAUUCAACAUUCUAGAACCAAGCAUAUAGAGAUUAGGCAUCAUUUCUUGAGAGAUCAUGUUCAAAAAGGUGAUAUUGCAUUAGAAUUUAUCUCUACGGAAAAACAACUUGCCGAUAUUUUUACAAAACCCUUUUGCGAAGAACAAUUUUCAAAAAUUCGGCAUGAACUUGGGAUGAUGAAAUUUUCGCAUUAACAUCUCUAUUUAUGUUAUUGAAUCUAUUAAAAUCGUUUGCUUGAUAAUUAUUAAUGUUUAUGAAGUGUUUGAGCAAGUUAGAUAUAUGUGGUGUUUGAUUUAUUAAUUUUUGAAUGCUUAUGUGCUUCAUGAAUAUAUGCUUGUUGGAUGGAUUAUUUGUUUGAAUUAAUUAUCUUUUAGAUGUUUAAAAUCAUGAAUCAUGCAUUAAAUUGGCUCUUGAGAUGUUUCGGGAUCACAAAAUGGUCACGGAAUUAAUCGAAAUUAGCCGAAAAUCAACUUGAGUGCAGCUUGACAGCAACCAGGCGGCUAGCCGCUUGGAAAAUGUCCCCAACCCGAGAGCAAGCGGCUAGCCGCUUGGUCACGGGUUGGGCAUAUUUUUUUUUGCUUCUUCUUCUUCCUUUGUUAAUUUUCUGCACAUGCUCUCUCUUUCACUCAAAACCGUGAGCAACCCAUCCAUUUUUCACUUCCAUUUUCUUCCUUUUUCAUCCAUUUUCAUGCCCAAAUCAACCAUUCAAACUAAUACCCAUGCAUUUCAUCUUCAUUAAACCCUUCUCCAUCAUGAUUUCUUCACUUGUUCUUCAUCAUUCCAUCCUCAUUCCAUUCACGCGUGAAUAGUAUUCUCCAUUUUCUUUCUUAAAUUUCUUCAUCUUUCACUCAUUUUCUUGUUAAAAUCAAUCAUCCAACUCAUUAUUCAUCCAUUACUCCUUCAAUUUUCACUCUCAAAACAACAUUUCAUCAACUCUCCACAUAAAACCCAAAAUAAAAAAUUCUCACUCUACCCGUUUCUCUCUCUUCAUUUUCAAGCUUCCUUUAGCCCAUUUUUAAUUCACUCUACAUCAUAAAUUAGCUUAAUUCAUCUCUAGGCUUAAUUUUCUUGCCUCAAACAAAUCCAUUUCACUCAAUUUUUGUUAAACCCGAAAUUGCAUUUUUAAGCUUUUUUUUUCUUCCAACAAUGGCGGGUGGUGACAAGUCCAAGGGAAAACACGUGGCCAAGAAGCGUAAGGAUGAUCAUGGAGAUUAUUCAGACUUUAUGUUGAUUCAUUUUCCACGACUCCAACUUCGGAAACAUUUUCUCGACAAUUUCAAGCCAAGGUCGGUCAUUACUCCUUAUUUUGCCAAUCUCAGUAAUAUGGAGAAUUUAGAAAUUUGUAAUGAAUCUCUUAAAGAUUUACUUAUUGCUAUGGGAUGGAAGAAUGUGUUGGUCGUUAAUGAUCCUUACUAUGAAAAUUUAGUCAAGGUUUUCUAUUCGAAUAUGGAUACGGAAUUGUCAAAUAGAAUUGUUACUAAUGUUGGGAGAGUUCACAUUGAAUUUGAUGUUGCUUUGCUAAAUUCUAUCCUUGGCACUCCAAAUGAGGGAUUGGAAAUGUAUAGUGCUAGAGCCAAAAUCAAACAACCUUGGUUUUCCCUUGAAAAUGCCGUUCGAAAAAUUUGUCGAUGGCGUGAUUUGUCCACUGCGUUCUGUAACUCACCUUUGAAAUCUCAAGCCUUACCUCUUCAAACUCGAAUCCUUCAUUAUGUUCUUCAUCAUGUGAUUACUCCUAGAGCUGGUCAUGUGGAUGAAGUUAGUCGUUUAGAUGUAGCCAUUUUGGACUGCAUUCUAGAGGAGAGGGUGCUAAAUACUGGGUAUAUUAUCCUUCAUCAUAUGCUUAGUACUCCCAGCUUAGCCAAAAGAUCCCUUCCAUAUGCUAGUAUUAUUACCCGAAUUCUAGAGUAUUUCCAUGUCCCUAUAACCGAGUCAAUCUCCUUGAAUUCGAUGGAAUUAGGCGAUGAUUCAAUCGCUAAUCUGGGUUUUUAUUGGAGGGAUGAUAGCUGGCAUAAAGAUCAAAGAAACAAAAAGGUUACGGAACUUGCUCCUUCAGAUCAUCAUUUCCUUAACGAUGUCCGUCCCCCACACUUGCUUUGUGAUCUUAGUGCUCCAUAUCUCUCACAUCUUCCACCUUCCGAGGGCCCUUCCCACUCUACUUCAGCUGACUCUGAGGAUCCGUUGCAAUAGCUGUUAACUAAAGUGGAUUCACUUUCUGAGCGGCAAGACAAACUUCAAUCUAUGCUUGAAGCUUUUCAACUUCAGUCCAUUUCCGAACGAGAGCGUCUCUUUGCUCAACAGCAGCAGCUUCUUGAUGGCCAGCAGUAACUUUUUGCAGCUCUUGGAUUUCCACCACCAUCCUCUUCAUCACAUCCACCAUCUCCUUAGCACUCUAUUUUUUUUUUCGUCACUCUGCACUACAUCUCUCCAUGCAUUGUUGUUUUUCCUUUGCGGAUGACAUCUUGUUGUUUGAUAUUUAGAUAUGUUGUUUUUAAUUGUGGAUUAAUGAUGCUUGUUAUUUGAUCAUCGGAUAUGUUAUAUUUGGAUAAUGUUUUCGGAUUCUUGGAAUAUUAUAACUCUUUGGUUAAUUAUAUGCUUAAUUCUUAUGUGUUGCUUGAUGACUUGGUGGAGUUGGUUUUGUUUAAGCUUAUAUGGAAGUGUUUUUAACCAUGUUGUGUAUUUGAGGAUUUGUUCAUUUUUAAGGGGAGACUCUGCCGAAAUUUUUGCUCACACAAAAUGGGUAAUCUCUUCAUUGAAUUAUUUUUUUAUGAUCUUGUUUCAAAUUGCAUAUAUCUAUCUUUUAUUUUUUUUAAAGGGGGAGAUACAUAUGAUAAGUUUUUUUUUUUUUUAAAAAAAUCAUUUUGGUUAAAAUUUUUAAUUGGUCAUAUAUUCAUGUUUCUCGAUCAUCCAUUCAUAUAUUAUCGGUCUUAGCAUUAAUCUCUAGCAAUUUUUGAUGAUGAAGGGGGAGAGAUCAUGUAUUUUGAAUUCGGAGACAUGUAAUACGUAUUUUGUAUUUCAAGUAUUUAUGCAUGGUUUUGAAAUAUUAAGGGGGAGCUUACAAAUUAUCAUAAAUCAUAUAUUCAGGGGGAGUUUUUGUUUUAAUUUUGAUUUAUGUCUUCAAUUAUAUAUGCCAUGUAUUAAGGGGAAGUAUAAAUGUCAAAAUACAUGAGAUGUUUGUCAUCAUAAAAAAGGGGGAGAUUGUUAGCCUAAAGGGCUACUCAUAAUGUAAUUUUGAUGAUAACAAACAUAUGUAUUAAGUGAUUUAAUAGAUAUUGUAUUUUACAUUUUCACUAGUUUUUGAAGGGUAAUAUUUAUGCAAGUGAAUCAAGUGAAAUCAAGCUCAAGACACUCAACGGACAAACGGCGAAAUCAAGAAUAAAGUUUAGAGCUCAACAAAUAAAUUAGUGUGAUAAAUUCUUGUAAAGCCGGUAUGAUUUAAUUGAUGCAUGAUUUAGCAUUUGAGAAGCUCAAGAGAUUAAUUUAAUUAAAUACUUUUCAUAAACUAAAAUGUUUUAUUUUUAUAAAGUAAAGUAUUUUGUGGAUUUAAGUAAUUUGGACUUAAAUGCUAAGAUUUGAAAUCUUUGAUUUUAAUAAGUAUUAAAUUUCGGAGUUGGACGUUUUUAUAAACACUUGAAAUGUUUUGGGCCACACUAUAAUUUAUGAAUGUUUUGGACUAAAGUGAAAGGUUUUGAGAACUUUGAAAAAUAUGGGUAAAAGGACCUUUGUGCAAAAUAAUAAAAUUUUUGGGGCCAUAUCAUAAUUUUAGAAAGUUUGGGAAAGACAACUAUUCUUAUGAAGUUUUGAAAUUGGACCUAUUUGUAAAGUUUUAUGACAUUUUAGGUUAUAGUAUAAUUAUAGAAAGUUUUGGGCCAAAGUGUAAUUUUAGUGAACAGUAUACUAUAGCAAAAUUCAAAAAUAACGGUAAUAUCACUGUUCCUGAGCGGCUAGCCAGAUAAUCAAGCGGCUAACCGCUUGGGAACGGGAAUUUACCUAUAACGACUAGUUUUUGGGCUUUCACUAUAAAAACUCAACUUAAACUUCAUUCUAAGAACCAAUGCAAGCAAAUAUAAGAUCAUACAACAUAUAUUGAGCUUCCAAAACGCAAAUCAUCAUAGAUUGAAUCAUUGUGAGCUAUUAUUUGCAUAUCCACUCUUCAAUAGAGUUUUUGUUGUAAUUUUCAUUUCUUAUCAAAUUAUGAGUGUAUAAGUGUGAGAAACACUUGGGAUAAAGAGAUUGGGGAGAUAAUCUCUUGAUUGUAAAGGUUCAUUGACACCUUAUAAGUCAAUUGUAAGAACUUGAAGCCUUGGGAGGCUUGGAUAGUGAAAUCCUCGAGCUUGGUUGGCUUGGAGGCGUGGACGUAGGCGGAGAUUGCCGAACCACGUAAAAAUCCGUGUGUUUGUUUUUCUCUUCCCUUACUCUUUUAUUUUUACGCUUGUUUGAAUUUAUUGUUUUCUAUUUCAUUAAGGUGUUAGAUUGAUUUGUUGGAGCGAAUUGUAUUAGGAUUAAUUUGGUGGAGUGGAAUUGUAUUGCAUAAUUUUUAAAAUCCCAAUUCAUCCCCCCUCUUGGGUUGCGUUACUUGUAUUUCACUAUCAUCAUUCAAUCAUUGUCAUAUCUAAAGUAGGGAUUUUUAAGCGUAAACCUAUAUAAUUGCUUGGUUAGUCAAACCAAUAGAGCUUUUUAAUGUUUCAGCUGCAAUAGUAGAUUCUAAACAACAUAAAGUCAUGAAAGAAUAAUAUCAAGCCCUAAUUAAUAACAAAACUUAGUUCUUGUUUAGCCUACUCAUUUUGUUACAGUAGUGAUAACUUUAUAAAAUGAGAAUUAUCAUAGUAUUUCUAGGCUUAAAUUAGUAUCAUUUAGAGAGUAAAUGAUAAUUUUUAUCCAAUUUUUAGUUAUUUUUUGCAUAAGUAUCUAUUUAAGUUUGUUUUAGCAAUUUGAUGUGUUUGAGACUAUUUUGUGCUCUAAUUAAGUGUACUAUUAUAAGUGACUAAAAAGCACUUGCUUUGUUGAUGAAUGUAGAGAAAAAGGACUGCAUUGUUGCCGCAACAAACCUAUUGAAAAGGACAAAAGACUUAUCUGCACAUGAACAAAUACAAGUCUGAACCAGAGAGAAUAUUGUCGCACUUACUGUAGCAAUCUAGGACUAAGUAAAGACAAAACUAUCCAAGCUAUUCAUUCACUAUCUGAUAGAUUCUGCUGCAACCAUUACUGCACUGCCAUUGUCAUGUGCAGACAAAACAAUGGUAGGGGCACUGAUGGGUGUCGAAGCCAACAAAAAUAAAUUCCUACUCUAAAUAAAUUGUGUAUAGUGAUUGAGCAGGGUCGUGUCCACAGAGAUCAGUAAUUAUUUAAAUCCUUUUGAAACGUAAAACGUAAAAUGGGGGAAUUGUUGACAAUAAUAAAAAUCAAAUUAAAAUAACGAGAAUGUAAAUUAAAGUUGUGAUUCAAAUUGGAGAAAGCUCUGGUUGAAGGAAUUAACUCAGCUUGAUUCGACUACUGAUCAUUGAUUCAAAUAUAGAUUAUUAUUACUUAUGAAUAGACCGGUUAUAGCUACUGAGACCCUCUAAUAGCCAAUCUAUCCUUAACUAGUCGAUAACCAAGGUACGACCGUUGGUUAUUUCUCUAAUCAAUAGACAACCCUAGAUACGAUCAUAGGAUUUAAUCAAUUGACAGCCUGAAAAACCAGAGAGACCCAAAUCCUAAUCAACACAUAUGAUGAUUCAUUUAAAUUAGAUUGUUUAUUCUCACAACACAACUCUCUGCUAUGUUAUUUGUCACAAACAUUAAAUUCUUCAUACGAUGAAUCCUUUAAUUGACAAUAGAUUAAGUUGAUAAUUAAAUAGUGGCCAAUUACCUAAUUAACAAACAUAAUCAUGAAAAUAAUUCAGAGAAUAAACAAAUACCCAAAAAGCAAUAAAACAAUUAAAGCACAAGAAAGAUCUCACAGUAGUGAUGAAUCAAAGCUUCAUUAUCCUUCAACCAGAAAAAUAGGUUUAGUUCUUCAUAGAGAGAAGAGAAAAAUUAAGAUCUAGGGUUUCUUUCUUUUUCUCCAAUCCAAAUCCCCCCUUUUUCACAAUAGAUUCCUCCCUUAAAUACUCUCUCUCUCUUCUCUUUUAGAAUUCUAUUUAAAAUAAAAUACUAAUAUCUGAAAUAUUAAAUUCGUAAUUACAAAAAUAACCAAAAAUACAAAACACGUUAAACUAAAAACUGCAGGUCCGCAGUUGACAGCACGCGCCCACGCCUUAUCAACAAAGUUCUUCUGACGCUCAUAAUUUCUCCAAGAGAACAAUCCUCCUUAAACAUAAUCUUUUAGCUCAAUUUUAUCACCAAUCAAUAGAAUUGCACCUACAAAAGUAAAACACAAGUAAAACAUUAUUAUUAAGUGCAAAACAUCGAUAUUAAGGGAAGUAAACAAUACAAAACUAGUGCAUAAAUUGCACUCUAACAGGCACAAAAAGAAAUGUGGUCCUAGAAUGCUAAGAAAAAAUAUGUGUCCUCUUGCCUUUUGGUUGCCUUAAUUCUAAGAUAUAAAAGGGCACAUUUUUUAGGAAAGACAUCAUCAAAUAGUCGUCACGCACACAAAAAGAAAAAAAGGAAAGAGAGAAUGUUUGAGCUACAACAGAGUGUAUCUCGUGGAGAAGGAUGAGAGAAACUUGAAGACUAAAGUGUGACACUUUGGUCCUUUUGUAUCUCAACUUUAUUAUUGUAUUUUGCUUGUUGUAUUUGCUCUUUAAUGAUUUAUUUCAUGGCAAACACUUACGUUUUUAUUGUUUUAAAGAUCAUCAUGAGCUAAACUUUAAUGUAGUUGGGUUUUGAAUGAGCUUAAUGGUUAUUUGACGUCUAUAUGUAUGUUGCUUAAAAUAUGCUAUAGCAUUGUAUCUUGAUUUUACAUAUUGCAAAUCUUUAUUUCGGUUGACCACCUAUUUAGUGGAUACUAGUUAAGAACGAUUCUAAAAAUGGUCUGACUUAAUGGAAUAAAUUAAGAUAAUAUGUGGUUUUACAUUGAGUUUCCCAAAUUGCGUUAAUCUCGAUUUAAAUGGGGUCAUCCUUAAUCUAAAAUUAAUGAGGAACUAGACAUAAGGAUUUAUCUUGUAGGGCAAAUAAAGUCUAUAUUGUAUAAUGCUAUGUUUAAUGUUAGUUUAACAACUGAUCACUGUUAGAUUGCAUAUAAACAUAAGAUAUCAAACAUGCGAUCUAGAGAUUCUGCUUUAAAGAUUUUGUCUAGUGCUAGAGUAAAUGCUGUAGCAAAUGUGCCUCAAGUAUAAAAUAGUCAAUAACUAAUAAAUGAUUUUAGAACCUAACUACCCUUUUGUCAUUGAAGUAUAUCUUUAUGUUUGACUUUACUUUUUCAUUACUGCAUUCUGUUUGUUGCAUUUUUAAUUUCAUUAGAUCAUUAAUUUCAAAUCAUUUAUUUUUGUUUUAUUUAGUUUACUAAAAUUGCACUGUUAAGAUUGCUAUAGCAAGUCUUAUAACGUCAAUUCCUAUAGGGAUGAUCUUGAUACUCAUCAUUAUAUUACUCGUUGUAUACACUUACACAUUGACACCACAUCACACACCAAGUACUUGGCAACAACUGGGUGUUUCAUGGUAGUGUAUUAAGUUACAAAGUUAGGCUUAUAUAGCCAAAGGAUUUCAUCAAACUCAAGGGUUGGACUACAAUGAAACAUUUGGUCCAGUUGUUAAAUCUUCUACCAUCAAGGUUAUUUUGAGUUUGCUUAUGCUAAAUCAUUAGGUGCUAAGACAAAUUGACAUCAAUAAUGCAUUUUUAUUGGUUACUUUAUUGCAAAAGUUUAUAUGCAGCAACCAGAGGGCUCUAUAGAUAACACUAGACUUAAUCAUAUUUACAAAUUACACAAAGCUUUAUACGACCUCAAGGAAGGCCUUAAGGCAUAGUUUAACUAACUUAAAAUGGCACUUAUAGCUCAUUAGGAUUUUAUUAACUUCAGAUCAUAUGCUCCUGUAAUCUUUAAGAAAGUUUAGGGAUAUUUGCUACUUGUUCUUAUGUGUGUAGGUGAUAUCAUCAUCGCAGGUUCAAACACUUAGCUGAUACAACAUGUCAUUAGUGACUUGCAGUCUGUUUUUACACUCAAAGAUCUUAGAGAAUUGAAUUAUUUCUUUAGUACUCAAGUCACCAAGAAUUAAUCAGGACUCUAUCUCUCUCAAUCUAAGUAUAUCUAACUUACUUAGCAAAGCAAGACUGCAAGAUAACACACCCUCCUCAAGUCUUAAGGUCUCUGAAGUCUUCUCACCAAAGUGAUUAUUUUUCUAAUACUUCCUUGUAUUAAAGCACCAUUACAACAAUUCAGUAUGCUAUUUUGACUUACUUAAGUUUAGUUUUUUAGUUAACAAACUCAGUCAAUUCCUCUCAGCUCUACCCGUUAAUCAUUAGCAAGGUUGUGAAAGGGUUCUCAAGUAUCUUAAAGGUACCAUUCACCCUGGACUGUAGUUUUAUCAUUAGGGUAACUUACAAACAAAUUACUUUAGUGAUGAAGAUUAGGCAGGUGACAGGAAUGACAGAAGGUUAGUUGUUGGUUUGUUAGUUCCAUAUUAGUAUUCUGAUGCUCUAAAAAGCAAGCUGUUAUCUAUCGAUCAAGUACCGAAUAUGAGUACAGAGCCUUGGAAAUGGCUGCCUUAGAGGUACUUCUCUGAGAUUGUUGUUCUUAUUCCCUCCAUUCCAGUCAUUUAGUAUGAUAACCAAAGUGCCACAACCUUGGUAUGUAAUCUCAAGUUUCACUAUAGCACAAAACGUAUUGAAUUAAAUGUUCAUUUUAUCCGGGAAAAAGUUGCCACCAACAGUUCUUAAGUUCAUUAUGUUUCUAGCUCUGAUCAAACUACAGAUAUUCUAAUCAAGCGUUAGCCUAUCGUUAUUUAUGUUACUAGUGCGAUAAGCUUAACCUUACUUCACUAGGAUGAGCUUAAAGAGGGAUGUUAAGGAUAAGCAAGCUGGCAAGCUGUUAACUGAUGAGUUAGGUGAAUUUACAGCAUGUGUAUUAGUUGUAACGAAUUGCCACAUAGAACUUAUGAUAGGAUGUUAUUAGAUUCAGGUAAUUAUUGUUAGCGAAGUUAUUAUUGAAGCUUAGCUAAUAUAAAUUAAGCUCAGAAUACUUAGUGUGAAAAUCAAAAAGUAAAAUCUAGAUCAUUCUACUUCUUUUUCUCUUGAAUUUUCUCAGUUUCCAAACAUCUAGUUACAAUUUUCAUAAUAAUGCAUCCAUUGGCUUUAAAAUUAAAAAUUAGUUGAUUCCUCUAAAUCUGCCAAAUGGUAAGUUCUUAUUUGUCUGGGCCCACUAGCUCUAAAUCAACUAAAUUAGUAAACUCUUACAAGUUUUUCGUCUACUUAUGUCUCAAUCAAUAAAUGUCGUGUAGUUUUCGUUAGGAAAUUGAUGGCUACAGCAGACAUAUAACUAAAGUAAAAUUGAGAAAAUUAAGAAAAUUGAGACACAAAAUCAUACAGGAGACACCAAAAUUUAAGUGGUUUGAUUUUUUUCCUACGUCUACGAGCGAAAAUAUAAGGAUAAAACUAUACCAAUGAAAUAGAGAUUACAAGUACUCAAGUAUUUUAAUUUGCUACUGAUAACUCUAUGAAUUAAGAGUUAUUAUGGCACUUUUAGACUUAAAUCAAUACUAUUUAGAGAGUAAAUUAUGUGUUUCUAUUGCAUUUUUUGUUACAUUUUGCAUAAAUAAUCAUUUUAGUCAAUCUUAAUAAGUUUUGCUCGAUUUAAAGUAAUUUGUGCUCAAAUUGUGUGCAUAAUUGUAGGUUUUCAUAAGCUUAUAAUUCAUGGAAGGAAUGCUAUGCAAUAGGCUUGCAAAAAUAAGGAAAGAACAUGACUACAAAAGAGUUGAAACAAAUCUGAAACAGUGCAGUUACUGUAGAUAUUGCUGUAGCAACCAUUACUGUAGCAAUCCUAGAACAACGACAAAGAAAAUUCUGUGCGGGAUAAUUACAAAAUUGCGUUUUGCAGUUUCCUAAUUUGACUUAUGCGAGACCUAGGCUUCCGUUUACGCUAAUUUUCAAUUAUAAAAGAAGCAUACAUCAUAAGGAAAACAAAGGGCCAUCACCUGAGGAGAAAAACACAAAGAAAAAAAAGAAAAACAAGAUUCAAGAGAGAGAUUAAGGGCUACACAAGAGGAAAAAUUGCAGAGAUCAAUUAGGAGCUCAAUCCUUUUUGUCCUUCUCUUGUUUUCGUGUUUUCUAUUUACUCAUGGGGAUGCGUUUCAUGGCUGAAACUUUGUUCUUUAUUUUUUUUUUGCAAACCAUGAACUAAAUUUAUUUGUGGUUGAGUGAUAAAAAAUCUUGAUGGUUUAUUGACUGAAUAUAUGUGUUUCUGCAUGUUUGCUAUAGUAGUUUGUUUUGAUAGUAUUUAUUUUUAUUCAUUAUUUCGGUUGAUCACCCAUUUAAUGAUACAAGUUAGGAGAGAACCGCAAAAUGGCCUAUCUUAGUGGAACAUAUCAGAGCAAUACUUGGUUUUAGAUUAAGUUUCCUAGAUUGAGUUUAACUUAUCCCAAAAGGGUCAUGCUUAAUCUAAAAUUAGUGAUGAACUAGACAUAGAGAUUCACUUUGUAGGGUAAAUAGAACUUAAGCGUGUAAUGUUAUAUCUUAUGUUGACAUAACAACUAAUCAUUGUUAGGUUGCAUAUAGAUAUAAGAUAUUCAACAUGCGACGGGUGAGGAUACAUAAGGAUUCUACCCAGUGCUAUAGUAGAUGUUGCAGCAACCGAGUCAAACAUUAGAAAAUAGUCAAUACCAUAAAGAGAGUUUAUUCACUCAACUACUCUAUAUUCUCAUUGGUUUUAUCCUUGAGUUUGUCGUGAUAAUUUAUUUUGUUGCAUUUUAUUUAUUGCACUUUUAUUUUAAUUAGUAUAAUAGUUUCACUAAGUGUUUUAUUUUAAUUUAGCACAAAAUCUGCACUCUUGAGAUUGCUGUAGCAAAUCUAAUAAUAUCAAUCCCUGUGGAGACGAUCUUGAAUACUUAUCACUUUAUUACUUAUUGUGUACACUUGCACAUUGACACCAAUAGUAUUAGUAUUUUUACACCAACAAGUUUCUGGCGCCGUAGCUGGGGAUUGAUUGUUCAUUGUGAUUUGUGAAAUUAAUUUUAACGGUACUAAUUUUUAAUUUUAUUUUGAUUUGUUUAUUUUGUUGACAUAGGUGAUCUAGCAACCCUUGCAUGCGCAAAUAUAAAUCUAUUGAAUUCUAGUUUGAUCCAGAAAUUGAAAGAACUGGAAGGAGAUUGAGAAGAGAGCAUCGGGAAUUACAAGCUGCUGUAGCAAUGGAUGAUUUGCAAUAUUUGAGAAACUUGAACUGUAGAGAGGAGAUACAACCAGUCAAUGUACAUGAAGGUUUGCAUGGACAAUGUGUUCAAAGGCAACCAGGGAACAACAACAUUGUUCACAUGGCGAACGAUAGAGAUAGAGCCAUUUGAGACUACGCAGUGUUAACUCCUCAGGCCAUACAUCCGGGAAUAGUUAGACCCGACGUUCAAGCUGACAAUUUUGAACUCAAACCCGUGAUGUUUCAGAUGCUUCAAACAGUGGGGCAAUUUAAUGGUUUGCCAUCCGAAGAUCCUCAUCUACACCUUAAGUUAUUUUUGGAAGUAAGUGAUGCUUUCAAGAUUACUGGAGCAUCGCAAGAAGCAUUGAGACUCAGACUUUUCCCGUUUUCUUUGAGAGAUCGAGCAAGAGCAUGGUUGAAUUCUCUACUACCAGAUUCUAUCACUACAUGGAAUGAUUUGGCUGACAAAUUUUUGAUGAAAUACUUUCCGCCAACCAAGAAUGCAAAGUUGAGGAACGAGAUCACAUCUUUCCAUCAACUUGAAGAUGAGAGCUUGUGUGAUGCAUGGGAGAGAUUUAAGGAGUUACUUAGGAGAUGUCCUCAUCAUGGUAUUCCUUACUAUAUAUAGUUGGAAACUUUCUAUAAUGGUCUCAACCCAAGCACUAGAUUGAUGGUGGACGCUUCAACAAAUAGGGCCUUGUUAUCUAAGUUUUACAAUGAGACUUAUGAAAUUUUGGAGAGAAUAGCCAACAAUAACUAUCAGUGGCCAUCAAUCAGACAAGCUACAGCAAGAGGUACAAUAGGAGUUCAUAACGCAGCAAGAGGUACAGUAUUGUCAGCUCAAGUAACUUCAUUAACAAACAUGGUGAAAACUAUGACCACUGCUCUAGCAAGUGUCAACCUAGUUGCCGAGGUCUCUUGUGUUUAUUGUAGAGAAGGACACUUAUUUGAUAAUUGUCCUGGGAAUCCAGCUUCAGUAAAUUAUGUGGGCAGUUUCAAUAGACAAAACCAGGACAAUCCAUAUUCAAACACUUACAACCCUGGAUGAAGACAACACCCGAACUUUUCAUGGAGUAAUCAGAAUCAGCCUGCUGCAGCAUUCAGUGGAUAGAACAUACCUGCUCAACUACCUGGAUUUUAUCCACAAAAUCAAGAGAAAAUAAGCAUCAACACUGAUCAACUCAGUUCCCUUGAAGGUUUGAUUAAGGAUUAUAUUGUGAAGAAUGAAGCAGUUGUCCAAAGUCAUACUGAAUCUUUGAGAAACUUGGAAAAUCAAAUUGGACAGCUUGCUGCAGCAUUAAGCAACAGACCUCAAGGCAGUUUACCCAGCAACACAGAGGACCUAAGAAGAGAAGGGAAAGAGCACUGCAAAGUGAUUAACUUGAGAUCUGGAAAGGAUAUUGAUAGUUCAGUUGGUGUACCAAAAAGAAGAAUUGAGUCUAACAAAGGCAAAGAAGACACUCAAGUAGAGAAUGAGUCAUAAUUUUUCACUUUUUAAAAUGCAAAUCAAUACAGUUCUGCUACAGCAUCUGCAGAAAGUUAUGAUCCAGCACUUAGUGGUGAGGUAGCUACAACAUUAUCAUCAACAAAACCGAGUCAAGCAAAAGAGAAGCAGUCUGCACAACCUGCUGCAGCACAACAGUUUAGACACCCACAACCCUUCCCUCAAAGAUUUCAGAAGCAACAACAAGACAAGCAGUUCAGCAAAAUCUUAGGAGUGCUGAAACAGCUGCAUAUCAAUAUCCAUUUUGUGGAAGUUCUAGAGCAAAUGCCAAACUAUGCAAAGUUUUUUAAGGAUAUUUUGACAAAGAAAAGAAGACUUGGAGAGUUUGAAACAGUUGCUUGAGCACAAGAGAGCAGCCGAAUGCUUCAGAGUAAGAUACCACAGAAGAUGAAGGAUCCAGGAACCUUCACAAUCCCAUGCUCCAUAGGCACUAAAUACAGUAGCAAAGCACUUUGUGAUUUAGGGGCUAGCAUCAAUCUCAUGCCUUUAUCAGUAUUUAAGCAAUUGGGAGUUGGUGAAUGUAGACCAACAACAGUGACUUUACAACUUGCUGAUGUUAGCAUAUAUGUAUCCAUAAUGUUGAUUUUGAUGAUAACAAACAAGAUUAAGAAUGAUUAAGUUUUUAAAAGAUCAAAUUAUUUUAAAUAAAUCAUUAUUAUCACAUUUUAAAGGUUUUAUAUUUAAUGGAAAAAUGAUUUAUGAAAUUAUUUAUUUUUCAAGUUUAUGGCUUAAUUGAAAGAGUUUUGAAAACUAUGAAAUCAACAAGUAUUGCUUGAAAUUUUAGAGAAUGAUUUAUUUGAAAAGUAUUCAUAGCAUUUUGGGCUAUAUAAUAAUUUCAGAAAGUUUUGGGAAUAGUAAGCAUUAUUUAGAAAUUCUGAAAUUGGACUUAUUUGCUAAAUGUAUAAUGUUUUGGGCCAUAGUACAGUUAUAUAAAGUUUUGAGGUCAAACUAUUAUUUUACAAAAUAGUUCACUGUAGCAGUCACUGUAGCAGUUAUUGUAGAAAACGGCGAUCCGGCAUCUUAAUAACGGCUCGCCGACAUCUAACAGAAUUGAAGAUUAGCCUCUAGACCUAAACGGUGAUCCGACAAUUUUGAUAAACGGCUCGCCGAUAUCGAACAGAACUGAAGAUUAGCCUCUGCACUUAAACGGCGAUCCGACAUCUAGAUAACGGCGAUCCGACAAUUUAAAAAUCAACCCAACGGUCAUAUUGACCAGUCAAACGGCGAUCCGACAUCUAGUUAACGGCGACCCGACAGUGUGAUGGUCCUUUUAUGCCUUUGACUAAAAAUGAAGUCGGGGAAGAUAUUCCAAAACCUUCACAGGAAUGGAAUGAAUUGGAAAAGAGAAAAGCUACUCUAAAUUCCAAAGCUAUGAAUGCCUUGUUUUGUGCACUAGAUAAGGAAGAAUUUCAUAGAGUAUCUAGUUGUGAGAGUGCUGAUGAAAUUUUACACAAACUUGAAGUUGUUUAUGAAGGCACGAAUCAAGUAAAAGAGUCUAAAAUUAGUAGUUACACUCGGCAAUAUGAAUUGUUCCAAAUGGAACAAAAUGAGAGUGUGUAUUCUAUGUAUACUAGAUUUACGGACAUAGUGAACACUCUAGGAGCCCUAGGAAAGACUUUUUCAAAUAGCGAGAAAGUUAAGAAAAUUAUUAGGUCGCUACCUAAGGAAUGGAGACCAAAAAGGACGGCCAUUGAGGAAGCCAAAGAUUUAAAUAUCUUACCUAUUGAUGAUUUAGUUGGUUCUCUUAUUUCUUAUGAGGAAGACUUGGCAGCCGAAAAAGGCAAUGAGGAGAAGAAGAAAAGCAUUGAUCUCAAAGCCUCGAAAUAUGAGAGUGAUGAGGAAAGCGAGCUGGAUGAGGAGGAGAUGGAUAUGCUGGCUAGGAAGUUCAGAAAAUUUUUUAAGAAAUCCAGUGAGCGAAGAAAAUUUAGAGACCUCAAGAACCGAAAAGAGAAUAAGGAAGUAAUCAAAUGUUAUGAGUGCAAGAAACCUGGCCAUAUAAGAUCGGAAUGCCCUCUUCUCAACAAGCUCAAGAAGAAAGCAAUGGUAGCCACAUGGGAUGAUAGCGAGGAGGAAACAAGUGAUGAUGAAGAGCAUCAAGAAAUGACAAAUCUAGCUCUUAUGGCAAUUGGAGAUGAAUCGGAUGAUGAACUUGAUGAGGUAAAUGAUCUUCCUACUUAUGAUGAAUUACAUGAUGCUUUUAAAGAAUUGCAUGAUGAGUGGAUGAAAAUUGGUAAAAAGAAUGCAUGUUUUAAAAAGAAAAUGGUAGAGCUCAAAAAUGAAAAUGAAUCUCUAUGUGCAAAGAUUACAUGCCUAGAAUUAGAGAAUAAAAUAUUGCAUGAUAGAGUUGCAUUAUCAAAUGAGAAACCUAGCACUUCACAUGAGCAUCUAGAAUAUCACAUAGAUGACUUGAAAAAGGAAAAUGAAAUGCUUAAGAAGAAGAUCAAUGAGUUAAAUGAGAUUGUUUUAAAAUUUACAAAUGGAUAAAAGAUGUUGGAUAACUUGAUUAAUUCACAAAAAUGUGUGUUUGAUAAAAGACGACUUGGUUAUAAGCCAAAUUUGAAACAAAAGUAUUAUAAGAAUUACUUUGUGAAGAGUACAUCUAUUAACAAUCAAGUUGUAUGUCAUUAUUGUAAUCAAAACGGUCACAUGAAGUUUGGUUGUCCUAUUAAAAGAAAAGUAUAUUAUGGAGUAAAAUGUGUUUGGGUUCCAAAAGGAACCAUUGCUAACACUCAAGGACCCAAUAGUAUUUUGGGUACCAAAGGACACAACGUGACUAUUUUCUUUGUAGGUACCACAAUCAAGGAAUGGUGGAGAAGUUCCUUGAUGAAAUCUUGUGAGGAUAAUCACUUGAGUAUGAUCUAGGAGAAAAAGAUGAGGCAAGAUGAUUUAAUUGUUUUGGUAACAAUUCUUGCCAUAUUAAUUUUGUUGAAUGAAUCAUGAUAAAUGAAUUUGUGAAAGUAUGCUUGUAUGUUUACAUGAUGGAAUUAUCAUUUUGUAUAACAUUGAGUGAUUUAUCAUGAUGUCUUUGUUUGAUUUUGAUGAUUGUAUGGUCUUUGAUUUCAUCUUCUUAAUUGUCUAUUAUCAUUGUCCAUCUCUUAUGUAUGUGUGAAUUCAUAUGCCAUUAAUUGUGUUAUAUUAUUUAUAAAAUUCGCAAAAAUGACUUAUUGCACUUAUGAAUUUGAUCACUUGUUCUUACUUAUAAUGAUGGCUUUUCUUAAUAGCUAUGUUGAUUUUGAUGAUCUUAUAUUGUCAUUAUGUACUUAUGUUUUACUUAAGUUUUGAUGAUAAAGAAUGUGCAUUGAUGAUUACAUUGUAUUUAAUGAAGCUUUGAUCUUAUGCAAUCUAUGAUUAGUGAAUGAAUGCAUUUUUUGUACUUUAUUGAUGCAUUGUUGAAUAUGCCUUACUUGUUUUAAAUGAUAUCGAAAAAGUAUAUAAGAUUUUUUAAGUUAUAUUGAAAUGUCACAUUAGAUCUUUGAUAAGUUUAAUUGUCUUGAUUUCUAAAAUGUGAUUAAUAAUUAUGGAGCUUGGAUAUUUGAUAAUAUGUUCUUAUAACUUUUGCAUGCUAAUUUGGUAAACAAAUAAAAACUCUUUGCGAAGAACAAUUUUCAAAAAUUCGGCAUGAACUUAGGAUGAUGAAAUUUAUUAAUAUCUCUAAUAAUGUUAUUAAUACUAUUAAAAUUGAUUUCUUGAUGAUUUUGAUGAUUGAUGAUUAUAUGUGUGUUGCUUGAUGAAUUGAUGGAGUUGUUGGUUUGUUAUAAUUGUUUAAGCUUAUAUGGAAGUAUUUUUAACCAUGUUGUGUAUUUGAGGAUUUGUUCAUUUUUAAGGAGAGACUUUGCCGAAAGUUUUGCUCUCACAAAAUGGGUAAUAUCGUCAUCGAAUUAUUUUUGAUGAUCUUGUUUCGAUUGCAUCUAUCUAUCUUUUCUUUUUUACGAUGAAGUGGGAGAUAAAUAUGAUAUAUUUUUGGAUAAAAUUAUUUCGAUUAAAAUUUUAAAUUGGCCAUAUAUUUAGGGGGAGCAUAUAAUAUGAUUUUGGAUAAUAUGCAUUUUGAACUUUUUUGUUGUCCAAAGGGGGAGACAAAAUAAUAUAUCAUUUCGAUGUUGUCAAAAGGAGGAGAAUAAUAUGCAUUUUGAGUAAUUGUUUUGAUAAUUGAUAUGUGAUUAUGGUGAGGACUUGAUGAUUUUGAGAUAUGAUGAUGAUUUGAUUACAUGGGUGUUUUAUAUGAUAAAUUGAUGUUAUCAGUUGUUGACUUGGUAAUUGAUGGAAUAAUGGUUCAUGAUAUUUUUGUGUGAUGAUUUGUGUAGGAAGUUGGCUUGUAUCAUGAUUUAUAAUAAUUUGGGAGUAAUAUUACUAAACUUGUAUUUGAAGUGAUGCUUGUUGUUAAGGGAAAAUUCUAUCAAAAUUUCUACUCGGACAACAUGGGUAACAAAUUUGCUACUUUUAUUCUUUUCCUUUAAGUUUUCGUUUUGAUAAUGAAGGGGGAGAAGAAUACAUGUUUUUAAAUUUAUAAAAAUUUGCUACUCUUUUUCUUUGCCAAUUAAGUUUUCUUUUUGAUGAUGAAGGGGGAGAAAAAUGCAUGUAUUUAAAUUUGUUAAUUUAGUUACUUGGCAAAUUGUAAGAGAAGAUUAUAUUUUGGGGAAGCAAUUUGUGGAAUCAUUCUUUAAAUACAUUCAAGGUUUGUCAUCAUCAAAAAGGGGGAGAUUGUUAGCAUAUAUGUAUCCAUAAUGUUGAUUUUGAUGAUAACAAACAAGAUUAAGAAUGAUUAAGUUUUUAAAAGAUCAAAUUAUUUUAAAUAAAUCAUUAUUAUCACAUUUUAAAGGUUUUAUAUUUAAUGGAAAAAUGAUUUUAUGAAAUUAUUUGUUUUUCAAGUUUAUGGUUUAAUUGAAAGAGUUUUGAAAACUUUGAAAUCAACAAGUAUUACUUGAAAUUUUGGAGAAUGAUUUAUUUGAAAAGUAUUCAUAGCAUUUUGGGCUAUAUAAUAAUUUCAGAAAGUUUUGGGAAUAGUAAGCAUUAUUUAGAAAUUCUGAAAUUGGACUUAUUUGCUAAAUGUAUAACGUUUUGGGCUAUAGUACAGUUAUAUAAAGUUUUGGGCUCAAACUAUUAUUUUACAAAAUAAUUCACUAUAGCAGUCGCUGUAGAAAACGGCGAUCCGACAUCUUGAUAACGGCUCGCCAACAUCUAACAGAAUUGAAGAUUAGCCUCUGGACCUAAACGGCGAUCCGACAAUUUUGAUAAACGGCUCGCCGAUAUCGAACAGAACUGAAGAUUAGCCUAUGCACCUAAACGGUGAUCCGACAUUUAGAUAACGGCGAUCCGACAAUUUGAAAAUCAGCCCAACGGUCAUAUUGACCAGUCAAACGGCGAUCCGACAUCUAGUUAACGGCGAUCCAACAGUGUGCAGAAAGUCAAUAACGGCUAGUUUUCAGCUCCAUCUAUAAAUAAGCUCAUUCAAAUUCAAACAAGAAGAAUUCCAACGAUCAUCAUUGAGCAAAAUAUUGAGAAUACAACUUUCAUUGAGCUUUAAAUCAUUGUAUUCAUCACAUUCAUUCCCACAGUGAGCUUUCACUUGUGAUCAAACACAUUGUGUAAGAGAGAUUCAUUUGUAAUCCUUUUUGUAAAAUUAAGUUAAAAGAUUGUAAGUGUUGGGAUACACUUGGGUUAAGAGAUUAGGGAUAAUCUCUUGUUGUGAAGGUUCAUUGACACCUUGGAAGUUAAUUGUAAACGUUUGAAGCCUUGGAAAGGCUCGGAUAGUGAAAUCCUCAAGCCCGGUGUGCUUGGAGGCGUGGACGUAGGCGGGGAUUGCCGAACCACGUAAAAAUCCUUGAGUUUGCUUUCUCUUCCCUUACUCAUUUAUUAUUGUGCUUUCAUUGAAUUUAUUGUUUUCGAAUUUAUUAAGGCAUUAGAUUGGAUUGUUGUGUGGUUUUCUUAGCUUAAAUUUUAAAAUCUCAAUUCACCCCCCUCUUGGAUUGCCUAGUUAGUAUUUCAGCUGACAGAUCUCAUGCAUAUCCAGAAGGAAAGAUUGAAGAUGUGUUGGUGAAGAUGGAUAAAUUUAUUUUUCCAGUGGAUUUCAUUGUGCUAGACUUUGAGGCAGACAAAUAAGUGCCAAUCAUUCUAGGGAGACCUUUCUUAGCCACGAGAAAGACUUUAAUUGAUGUUCCAAAAGGAGAAUUAACCAUGAGGGUGAAUGACCAGCAAGUUACAUUCAAUGUGCUGGAUGCCAUGAAGAGUCCCAAUGAGAUUGAAGAUUGUAAUUUUAUAAGUGUUGUGAACCUUGUUGUAAUAGAAAGAUUACACAGUUGCUGCAAUAAGAAAGAAAUCAAUACUAUAACAAUUAAAGAACUCGAUGAUGAAGAUCAUGGAGCAGCUAACAUAGCAUGGUCAGGGGAGAAGCAACCCUUCAAAAUUGACGGGCAAAUCCAGCAAAGGGAAUUCACUCCAGACCAACAAGAAUUCAAGGUUAAUGGGCCAAGAGUGAAGCACUAUAUGGGAGAUGAUGUGAACAACCUAAGGAAGGAUCGGUUCUUGAAGGAUCCAGGUUGAGGAAACAAGAAAGGUCAGGCUGAAAGACUUAAAAUCAAGCGCUAAUUGGGAGGCAACCCAAUAAGGGAAGUUGUUUUAAAUCUUUAAAGCAUUAAAUUUAGUUUUUAAAUUAUUGAAUUUUUCUUGUUGUUAUUUUAAGUGUGCAUCUAUUGUUUUAUGUCUUUGUGUUAAAUUGCAGCAUGUAAAAAAAAAAAAAAAAAAAAAAACCAAAAAAUGCAAAAAAAAAAAGCAUGAAUGAAUUGUUGCAGCAUCAUUUACUGCAUGAUAUAUAACAGAAGAUUCUCAAACAACAGAGGCAUUUCUUGCUUUUACAGUAGCAAAUGGAUUGAUAAGAUUUUAUGAUAAGGAGCGUUUGAGAAGUAUAUCAAAGAAAAAGUGACCCUUUACAUCCUAUGUUGUAGCAGUGCUUCCAGCAAUAAGGAAGUACCCUUACCCGCUAGUUUAUUUUACUUCUUUUUGCAAAACUUUUCUUUCAUUUAGUUUUAAUUUUCUAAUUCAUUCUGCAUGUCCUUUUAUUUAGUGUAUGCAUGUCUGGUUCAUGUGGUUUUGUUUUGUGUGCUCGUGAGGGCACAACACCACUCAAGUUUGGAGGGGUUGUGUUUUUAAGUACAUGUGUUUAUGUUUGUGUUGUGUGUUGUGUGAAGCUCUGUUAUCUAAUAUUUGUGUAUGGAUUUGAAAACCUAAUGAAGAUAAAUUGAGUGUUAUUUAAUAUUUAUGAGAAUGACAAGUAGAGAUAAUUAUAGAUGGAAGUUGAAAUUAUGUCCUGACACUUAGAGUUUGGUUGAGUUUUAUGAGAAUGUUGUAGCAGAGCCAGGAAAACAAAAAAAAGAGUAGAAAAUAUCUCAAGUUUGAGGGAAAUUUUUUGUUGAACUGUGCUUGUUAUGAAAUAAAUUCUGCUCCAAUGGUUUAAGUUGCUGAGUAACUAGGGUUGAGUAUGCACCCCAUAUGCAAACUUGAGUCCAAAGGCAACAAGAGCUAUGAGCAGUGCUGCAACAAUUAUAUAUAAAAAAAUUAAAAAAAAGGUAAAAAAAAAUGGUGAUGAAGGAAUGGAAAAUAAAGAGGUCCGCUGCCUAGGAUACUGAGUAACCUGGUCUGUUCAUUAGCCCCAUGUUCAGCCUUGAGUCAAAGGCGUCCAAAGGUAAGACUUAGAUAUAACAUCCUGGAUGUGUUGUUGCAGCAACUCUGACAUGUACUUUGAGUAAGUAAUUAGGUGUCGUCAUUACAAGUGAUGGGCACUCACAUGAAAGCUCAAUGUUGCAUUGAAGGGUUUAACUGAAAAAAAAAAAGUAUAAUUAUUGUAGCACAGUUUGAGUUUAUUUGUGAAUUCUACUCCCUCAUGUGUGAAUAUAUUUGUGUUCUAUCUUUAAAUUAUAUGUCUGUGUAAUACUGUAGCACCUCUGGAACUUGAUCAAAGUGGCACACACACACUCUGGAUAGAAUGAAGCCUAAGUCUAGAACUAAACUACUAUGGCUAUUUUGCAUGAUUAAGAAUGUGAUCUAAGGGUUGAAGAAUCCUUACAAAUUUGAUGACAGAGCUAAGUUAUUUAUUGAAUGAUUGUGUGAUUGAAGUGUUAGUGUUAUUGUCAUUACUUGAGGACAAAUAAUGGUUUAAGUUUAGGGGUGUGAUAACUCUAUGAAAUGAGAGUUAUCAUGACACUUUUAAACUUAAAUCAAUACUACUUAGAGAGUAAAAUUGUGUUUCUAUUGCAUUUUUUGUUACAUUUUGCAUAAAUAAUCAUUUUAGUCAAUCUUAAUAAGUUUUGCUCGAUUUAAAGUAAUUUUUACUCAAAUUGUGUGCAUAAUUGUAGGUUUUCAGAAGCUUAUAAUUCAUGGAAGGAAUGUUAUGUAAUAAGCUUGCAAAAAUAAGGAAAGAACAUGGCUACAAAAGAGUUGAAAUAAAUCUGGAACAGUGCAGUUGCUGUAGAUAUUGCUGUAGCAAUCCUAGAACAACGACAGAAAAAAUUUUGUAUGGGAUAAUUGCAGAAUUGCGUUCUGCAGUUUCCUAAUCUGACUUAUGCGCGACCUAGGCUUCUGUUUACCCUAAUUUUCAACUAUAAAAGAAGCAUACAUCAUAAGGAAAAGAGAAGGCCAUCACCCAAGGAGAAAAGCACAAAGAAACAAAAGAAAAAUAAGAUUCAAGAGAGAGAUUAAGGGCUAUACAAGAGAAAAAAUUGCAGAGAUCAAUUGGGAGCUCAAUCCUUCUUAUCCUUCUCUUGUUUUCGUAUUUUCUAUUUACUCAUGAGGAUGUGUUUCAUGGCUGAAACUUUAUUCUUUAUUUUUCUUUUGCAAACCAUGAACUAAAUUUAUUUGUGGUUGAGUGAUAAACAAUCUUAAUGGUUUAUUGACUGAAUAUAUGUGUUGCUGCAUGUUUGCUGUAGCAGUUUGUUUUAAUAGUAUUUAUUUUUAUUCAUCAUUUCGGUUGAUCGCCCAUUUAAUGAUACAAGUUAGGAGAUAGCCGCAAAAGAGCAUAUCUUAGUGGAACAUAUCAGAGCAAUACUUGGUUUUAGAUUGAGUUUCAUGGAUUGAGUUUAACUUAUCCCAAAAGGGUCAUGCUUAAUCUAAAAUUAGUGAUGAACUAGACAUAGGGAUUCACUUUGUAGGGUAAAUAGAACUUAAGCGUGUAAUGCUAUAUCUUAUGUUGGCAUAACAACUGAUCAUUCUUAGGUUGCAUAUAGAUAUAAGAUAUCCAACAUGCGACGGCUGAUGAUACAUAAGGAUUCUACCCAAUGCUGUAGCAAAUGCUGCAGCAAUCGAGUCAAACAUUAGAAAAAUAGUCAAUACCAUAAAGAGAGUUUAUUUACUCAACUACUCUAUAUUCUCAUUGGUUUUAUUCUUGAGUUUGACGUGAUAAUUUAUUUUGUUGCAUUUUAUUUAUUGUGCUUUUAUUUUAAUUAGUAUAAUAGUUUCACUAAGUGUUUUAUUUUAAUUUAGCACAAAAUCUGCACUGUUGAGAUUGCUGUAGCAAAUCUAAUAACAUCAAUUCCUGUGUAGACGAUCUUGAAUACUCAUUACUUUAUUACUUUAUUACUUUUUGUGUACACUUGCACAUUGACACUAAUAGCAUUAGUAUUUUUACAACAACAACUACCCAUACACUCAAUCCUUUAUCCACUAAUCACUCAAAAGCUUAUUAAAAAAUAAUUUAAUUCUCUCACUCAACGCUUCACUUCUAAUUGAAGAAUGGGGUGACAAAGAGGAGAAAUGAAGCCUCUAUUAUUCCCUCUCCUUUUUUUCUAUAUUUUUAUUAUUAUUAAAAUAAAUGAGUCACCAGAGUUCUUCCAACUUCCCGUAAAUAGGACCGAGAUAUUCUUCAUUUCUUUUUCCACGCGCGCACAGAAACGCGAGGACUUAACUUAUUGACUUUUGGGUAUCGGAGUCUCCUUCGCAUCUUCAUCCCCGUGUCAAAUUUCUUAGGUGUCAGAUAAUUAUGACUAGGAACAUUAGAGAAACAAAACAAAGCAACCGGAGUGAAAAGAAAAAGGAAAAGAACUGGCCGGUGAUAUAAUAAAAUAAAUAAAUUGAUCUAUCCGCAAGACGAAUAUGAAUGUGAUCCUCGUGUUUGUCACCGCGCUAAGCGUUCAAAUCAGCCUCACAAAGGCGGAUGAUAAGCCUACUUACAUUUAUCAUAAUUGCCCCAGCACAAAUUUUACUCCAAACAGCGCUUACCAAUCCAACCUCAAUCUCCUGCUCUCUAAUCUUCGGUCUAACGCCACCCCCGGCAGCAGCGACAAAUUCUCCAAAGGAUUCUACAACACUACUACAGGCCAUGAACCCAACAAGGUCUACGGUCUCUUUCUCUGCCGUGGUGAUUUCGGUGCGGAAACCUGCCAAAAUUGUGUCAGUGUUGCUACCUCAGAUACAGCCCAACUCUGUCCUUCCGGAAAGGAGAAUACAAUUGGGUACGAAGAGUGCCUUUUACGUUAUUUGAACAUUUCUUUCUUUUCAGUCCUGGACAUCUCGGUCAGACUCUCCCAAUGGAAUGUAGAAAAUUCUCCAAGUCGAUCAUUUGACCAGUUCGUGUGGAAUUCGAUGAACGAAGCAGUCAAUCAGGCUCUAAGUACUACCAAAAUGUUUGCGACCGUAAAGAAAAAUUAUACAGCCUCUCAAACGCUAUACAGCCUCGUUCAGUGCACGCCGGACUUGUCAAGAGAUGACUGUAGCAGCUGUCUUCGUUUAGCUAUUUCACCCUUGAACGGAUGCUGUAGCAUUAAGAUAGGAGGAAGAGUGAUGUAUCUGUUGUGCGCGGAAUGCGGAAUCAAGCGCACCAAAUAAUUACUGAAAAAUAAAGGACACAAGAAUUUACGUGGUUCGGUAAUUAAACCUACAUCCACGGAGGCAAGAAAGAAUAAUUGUUUAUUUAACAAUUAAUAGAGUACAAUAUUUGAGUAAUGAAUCUCACUUCCCAGAAACCCAAAUAUACUAAGUACUCUCACACUCUGUAGGAAAGAUGAAUUCCCCAGACACACUUCUCUCACUUCUCUCAAAAGCUUAGAAACUUAUAAGCUUAACAAUUUUGGGAUGAUUUCAAAUGAAUGAAAUACUUAGCUACUUAUAGGAGAAAUGAAUUACUAUGCAAAGAAUAAAAUAAUUGAAAAUAUAAUAAAUUAUUAUUAUUAUUUUCAAUCCAUCCCCUUUUUCCAUUCUUUCUUUUCGGCUUACAAAUUCAAUUUGAUUUUGCUUCUCCAAAGUUUGCAUGCUAGCUGUUGCAAAGUUGGCAUUGGCUUCUGACUUUUCAACAGUAUCCCAGUUGCAACUUCCGAUAUGAGCUGUACCAGUUUUAUAAUGAUAUGUCGAUCGGGACACUGCCGCCUACGGUUUUUUCUCCGCCGUCUCCUAGUUCUGUAACAAGCUCUAAAGGUAAACUAAUUUUGAAUUUCAUUCUUCACGUUAGAAAUUAACAUCAAAUUUGAUAACUAUCCUUUAAAUUAAGUUCGUUAAAAUUAUUCGAACUCUUUUGUGAGAAUGUAAUACAAUCCCUGGUUUAAGAUAAAUCAAAUUCGAUAGAUAGCCACUCUUUAAAUCUGUAGUUAUUGCAUUACUAAUUUUAAAUACUUCAGAAGGAUAAAAUAAAAUAAAAUAACAAGUAUGUGGUUUUGGUAUCUAGGAGGCAAAGGAAAGAAAGCAACAUGGAUUGCAAUUGGCACAAUUAUACCAACAAUUACUCUAUUCAUACUGUUGGGUUCUUUUUUUUGGUGCAGGAGGAGAAGAAAUAAAGGUAAUAAUGAAUUUUUCCAAAGGUUGUUUUGUCUUUUCACAAAUAUGUUAUAUAAAAAAAAGGAGAAUUUGUUUUUGACAUUUUGCGCCUCUCAAUUCCUAUUGUCUCUACAAAAUAAUAUUGUUACAGAAAGUGAUCUAAACUCUCCUACUGUUUAUCGAUCCAAAUCAUUUCACCACCACUGUUGCAAAAUCCAUCAAUUUUUUUUCAAAAAAAAAAAAAGCCUUAGAAAUUUUUGCUGAACAAAGUAGGAGUUCACAGGGAUAAAACAGUAAUAAAGAAAGAAAUUGAUAGCUGAUAUUUUUUCAAUGACAGAAGGGUUUUGAUUAACUUUAAAGCAAAAGAAAAAUGAUUAAUUAAUUUAUUAAUUUAAAACAGCAAGGAAAUUUGAUCAAUUUCCCCAAAAUGAAUAAUUCCUGAGGUUCAGAUUUCAACGUCGUUCCAAAACUAAUAUGAAAUUAUCGGAAAAUUAUACUUGCGACAAGAGAAUGAAACAUUUUCAUCUAUUUUUUUCCCCAAAAAGAAAGUAAAGUUAAUAUGUCUUGCAGCGAAGAAAGCAAUAAAAAAACAAGAACUUUAUACGAGAGAAGGUAGAAUUGGGGACGACGAGUCAAACGAUACAUUAGGUGGAGAGGCGCAAGAGGGAUCUCAUCAAGAGUUCCCAAUCUUCCCAUUAGGUCAAGCACUCGAGGCUACAAACCAUUUCUCUCAUGAAAAUAAGCUUGGAGAAGGUGGUUUCGGCCCUGUGUACAAGGUACUUUGCUUUAAUUUAUUUAAGCAAUUAAACCAGUAAUGCCAUGAGUGUUAGAGCGUGUCCUCUGACUCAAGGCCCUGUGGUUAAUUCCGUGCUGUCAGUCGGCUCAGAUUUGAACAAAUCUUCGCCGAGGUGGAGAAUUGUUGAAAAGUCAAAGAAGAGCUUGCCAAUUUCAAGGUUGGUAGCACGAUUCAACAAAUUGUUGGUUACACCAACAAUUGUAGAGAUUUUUCAAGCCGAAAAGAAAGAAUGGACAAAGGGGAUGGAUUUGGAAAAUAAUAAUAAUUAAAAAUUAUAUUUUUAAUUAUUUUAUUCUUUGCAUAGUAAUUCAUUUCUCCUAUAAAUAGCUAAGGAUUUCAUUCAUUUGAAAUCAUCCCAAAAUUGUUAAGCUUAUAAGUUUCUAAGCUUUUGAGAGAAGUGAGAGAAGUGUGUCUGGGGAAUUUAUCUUUCCUGCAGAGUGUGAGAGUACUAGGUAUAUUUGGGUUUCUAGGAAGUGAGAUUCGUUACUCAAAUAUUGUAUUCUAUUAAUUGUUAAAUAAACAAUUAUUCUUUCUUGCCUCCGUGGAUGUAGGUUUAAUUACCGAACCACGUAAAUUCUUGUGUCCUUUAUUUUUCAGUAAUUUUUUUGGUGCGCUUGAUUCCGCAUUUCGCGCGCACAACAUCAACCCCAAGAUAUCCUACGCUUAACAACGGUUUUGUAAGAUUUGAGUUCUAUCAUGUGAGUUCAUGACAACUGGUUGUCAGACCAGGUGCUUUGAGUUGUGGACAAAUCUUCUCCAUUCCCCAUGCAUUCAACGCUUUUAUUAGAUUCUUAUAAUGUGUAUCUGUAUUUCACCAACAAUCAUGAAUUUGCAUAUUGCUCACUUUCAGGGAAAACAACUGAAAAAAAGUAUAUUGACCAAAUGAAUUUUGAUAUGGGAAGUAUUGAUCGAAUGUAACUCAAACCAGCGAUUUAGAUUUUUGUUUUGUUAACAAUAUAAAUUUGCGUCCAGGGUAUAUUAGCGGACGGGAAGGAAAUUGCAGUAAAGAGACUCUCAAGAUCAUCCGGCCAAGGGCGACAAGAGUUCAAGAAUGAAGUUACUUUAAUCGCCAAAUUACAACAUAAAAAUCUUGUGAGACUACUGGGAUGCUGUUUAGAUGGAAAUGAACUGCUGCUCAUCUAUGAAUAUAUGCCCAACAAAAGCCUUGAUCUCUUCCUUUUUGGUUUGCCUCUUAAAACUUUCUAAAUCUAGUUCAGUCUUGGUUACAUUUAUUUUCACAUGCCGCUGGUAGCUAAGUUCUGCAAAUAAAACGGAUUCGUGACGUUAGGUUCAGGUGCUUUGCCAUAUUCGUGACGCUGGGAUAAAAGCUUAAAUUAAUGAUCUUGGUGCACCAUAUUUCCCUUCUAGAUUCCUAACUUGUGAGCAGGAUUUUGGGUUGAUUUUAUGUCAUAUGAAGCCUUUCAAUUACACGCAUUUAUUAUGGUAUGUAUUGUCUGUGGGAAGUAGCUAACAAGCACAAGUAAUGAAUCUAGAUCCAAAGCUUGAUCUAAUAUGUGUUGAGUUUUUAAAGAUUUUAUAUCAUCUUUACAUUUAUAAUAGUAUAUGAUAUAAAUAAUUAUUUUUUCAGUUGUAUCCCACAGAUAAUUAUCGAUAAGAGUCUUAGAAUUUUCCUCAACACAUGAUCAAAUCAAUCAACAUAAAAUUAAAAUUUCACGAAUCAAUAACUUUUUCUAUUUCUUUCUCGCCUUAAAGAUUAAGCAUGACAAAAAAAGUACUCAAGUGCAUAUUGUGCUUUUCCCUUGGUUUUCAGAUUCAACUAGGGGUGCACAAUUGGAUUGGAAAAGACGCAUAUGCAUCAUUAAUGGAAUUGCUCGAGGCCUUUUGUAUUUGCACGAGGAUUCUCGACUCAGGGUUAUUCAUCGAGAUCUUAAAACUAGUAAUAUCUUGUUGGAUCAUGAGAUGAACCCCAAGAUAUCAGACUUUGGAAUGGCAAGAAUCUUUGGCGGCAAUCAAAAUGAAGCUAAUACUAAUAGAGUUGUUGGAACAUAGUAAGUACAAAUCUAUUUUACCACAUACUAAGUACUGAGAAUUUAUCUAAAAUAAUGUGCGUUGAUUGACUUCAUUUAUUUAUUUGACAUUUAUUUCCAACAGUGGAUAUAUGGCACCCGAAUACGCAAUGGAAGGAGUAUUUUCAAUAAAAUCAGAUGUUUUUAGUUUCGGAGUUCUUCUUCUAGAGAUUAUAAGUGGAAAAAGGAACAGUGGAUUUUAUCUUUCGGAGGACGGUCACAGCCUCCUUACUUAUGUAUGCGGCCUUUUUUUAGUUUAGUCUUAACAUGAUUGGUAAUUGAAAGAUCUCUUCUUUUGACUCAAAAGAUUUUACCGUUUGAACUAGUUCAUACUUGAGAACAUGCAUGUAUGCAACUAUCUUUAUCACUCAUUUGGAAGAAUGAUUUCUCGAUGAUUAAUGAUAGGAUACUAAUCUUUGUUCGCGACAUUUCAGACAUGGAAAUUAUGGUGUAAAGGAGAAGCUCUGGAGCUGAUGGAUCCAGUACUCAAGCAGUCAUGCGUGGGCGCUGAACUUCUGAAAUAUAUACAUAUUGGAUUGUUGUGCGGUCAGGAAGACCCAGCCCGCAGACCUAGCAUGUCAUCUGUGGUUGUAAUGUUGGCGAGUGAUACAAUAACACUUCCUCCACCAACCCAGCCUGCAUUUUCUGUUGGCCGAAUGGUUGCUAGUUCUGGUCCAUUCUUUUCAUCAGAUUCUAAAUUUUGCUCUAUU
rnacentral:lncRNA from 1 species